rnacentral:lncRNA from 1 species
CCGCCAGGCCUCACGCGUCGGAGGCGGAGGCGCAGAAGAACGAGCCGACGGCGGCGCAGUCCUCCGGCUCCGACGUCAAGGUCUUCCAAAUCUACCGAUGGAGCCCUGAAAAUCCGUCCAAGCCGGAGCUCCAGGACUACAAGAUCGACCUAAAGCAGUGCGGGCCCAUGGUCCUUGACGCUCUAAUCAAGAUCAAGAACGAGAUGGAUCCGUCGCUCACCUUCCGAAGAUCCUGCCGCGAAGGCAUAUGCGGUUCGUGCGCGAUGAACAUCGACGGCUGCAAUGGCCUCGCGUGCCUGACGAAGAUCUCCUCCGGCAAGCCUACGAUGAUCACGCCUCUGCCUCAUAUGUUCGUGAUUAAGGAUCUGGUCGUCGACAUGACCAAUUUCUACAACCAGUAUAAGAGCAUUGAGCCGUGGCUGAAGCGUAAGAACCCUCCUGAGGUUGCCGGGAAGGAGAUUCUGCAGAGCAAAAAGGAUAGGUCGAAGCUGGAUGGGAUGUAUGAGUGCAUUUUGUGCGCAUGCUGUAGCACUUCGUGUCCCAGCUAUUGGUGGAAUCCUGAAGCUUACUUGGGUCCUGCUGCACUGCUUCAUGCUAACAGGUAAUCCGAUUCCUUUCCCUUUCUUAUUUCAUAAUUUUCGUGUGUAUGGAGAUUAGAGAUUAGCGAACAAUUGGAUUAGGUUUCCAUGCAUUGACAUUGUGAAUAGGGUAUAUACUUGGAAUGAUACAAUCGUGCAAGUGUUGAAAAUUGGAGUUCAUGGAUUGAACUAAGCUCUUUAUUUUAGGGGCAAUUGCAAAUUCCUUGGUGUCAUAGGAAGCAGUGUUCCAAUUAGUUCAAUUUCGAAAUACUGACCUAGUGACUAGAGCGUGCCUUACUAUGGAUGACGGGUAUAUAUAUAAUGCAAUAAGGUGCUAUAGAGGAAACGAAGUGUGAGAGAUUUUAGGAGUUUCCAACCAAUGACCGAGCAAUCCGACUGGCUCAAAGGGGUGUUUAUAACUCAUGAGUUACUCUUGUUUGGUGGAGUCGGAGAGGGAGAUAGAGCUUCAACAAAUUCACGCAGUCCCUGUGGUGAUGGUUAUCGAACUGCGUCAUGCCAUUUCCUUGAGGUACUGUGGUAGUCUAAGUCAUUACAGUAGAUCAUACCAUGAAGCAUUUGGUUGUGGUUGAUAUCAAAACCUCCAUUUGCUAGUGAUGCUACUAUCCACGAGAUUUCAGAUGAAGAAAGGACGCAGUGAUACAUGCUUCUCAGGAGGAAUUGUUGGUCUGCAAUCCUACCGAGACAGUAACAAACAAGAUUAGUAGGAAUUGUGUGUUCGUAUCGGAAACAAUAAUCUCCCUUGAUAUCUCCAACGAAGAAGCACUGUGUUUGUAUUUUGUUUAUGGAAUCGCAUAUGGACAUCCACUGUUAAGUUCAAGUUUGGUUCGACUAACUCUAUUGUAUUCUAGAGAAUCGGAGAAGGAAUGGAUUGGGAAACAAGACGAUGUAGCACUUAGCUUAUUCUCUUAGUUAUUUCAAUCUGUUUGGAUGUCAUGAUCAGUAAGGAUUCUUAACAUUUCAUAUCGUCUGUGAUUUGGUUUUGAUGUUGAGCUCAGAUGAAAGUGGUAGUAAACUAACGCUUUGUUAAUGUCAAUGGCGCAGGUGGAUCAGUGACAGCCGUGAUGAAUACACAAAGGAGCGACUGGAUGCGGUAAACGAUGAGUUUAAGCUGUAUAGGUGCCAUACUAUCUUGAACUGUGCUCGUGCCUGCCCCAAAGGGUUGAACCCUGGAAAGCAGAUUCAGAAUAUUAAGGGUCUUCAGAUCAGCGGUGCUCCAUGAGUCUUCAAUACAAGGUUCUGAAGAGGAUUAACCAGUUGUUAUUCUGGCUAUUCUUUCCAAAAGAAGUGUAAACAUCUGUUGCCAAGUUCUUAAUAAUUUGUACUUCAAUCUUACUGCAUUUUGAGUUUUAUGAUUGUGUUUCCUCACUAAUCUUUUUUAAGAAAUAGAGUUUUUUCGCUGGGGGUAUUAUGUUGCUUGCUAUCAGUUACUAUGUCAACAGCUAGUCGUUCCGAAUUAUUUGUACUCGCCGCCAAAACGACCUUGCGAUACCUCGUUGUAUAUGGGAGGAAUCGUUUUCGAAACGAUGUGGAAUAAUAAUGUUCAUCACGAGACCCUCAUUGGAUUCAGAUAUUGAGAAAAAUUGACAUUUUUUACAAGGCAAAAUGGUUGACUUGAACUAGUGGUUGUUACACGUUAACGAAUAUGGUACGUGGAUACACUUUAACGAAUAUGGUACGUGGAUACACUUUAACAAAUUCGAUCAUGGAAAAUAUCGUUUGUAACUUACGCACAAUAACGGAUUUCAUCAUGUACUUAGAGUUUAGGUUGUUUACUUAGGCAAUUGGAUAGAUGAAAAACUGGGAAAGGAGGGUUGUGCUGUACUUCUUUAUGUCAUUGUGGAUGAUGACAUGCACAAAGCUGAGGCUUUAUGCAAAGACUUGCCAAACUCUAUCAUUAUCUUCAAAGUAUAACCAGUAACAACUUUUUCCUCUGUGGUAAGAAGCAAGCAACACAAAAUUUCAUUUCCGAAAUCACUUCAUACUUCGUAUGGAUCUACCUUUUCGGCCGGAUCCGUUAAAAAAAGUUCUCAUCCAGCUUUUUACCGGCCAAACUAAACAAAUUACAUUUUAGGGAAUCUAAUAUAUGCUAUAAUUGGACAAAUUUUUUUCCUGUGUGGAAAAACUGUUUGUGGCUGAAUACGUUCGUAUAACCGUCCAUAUACUUUCCGUUAGUCAUGUACACAGACAUACAGAGACAGGGGUCAGGGGCAACCUAAGUUAGAAAUGAAUUGCAGAGUUCUUAUACGCCACUUCCCAUGCGCAAAGCUCUUAGCUUUUCUUCAUCUCCCACAUAUUUAUAGCCUCCUCGAGGAAGACCAAGAAACAAUUAAAAAAUGGCUUCGUGGAAUUCGAUUCCCCUAGAAAUAACGUACCAGACACUGGGUUGGCUGGCUUUCGUCGCAUGGUCCAUCAGUUUCUAUCCUCAGGUCAUCUUGAAUUUCCGCCGAAAGAGGCAGGUUAACCAUUUGUUUUUCUCUCAACCGCCCCCCCUGCUGUCCAGCAGCAGUACUUUCAAAAGUAUGGCUAUGACCAGGUUAGUAUGAUUCUCUAUACUCUCAUACUUCAGCUAUAACCUGUUAUUAUACAAUAAUGAAACAAUGUUUCUUCCCUAUGGGGCAGAUGAUACCGGUUGCUGCAAAUGAUGUUGCUUUCUCAAUACACGCAGUUGUAUUGACACUGAUCACGCUGUUCCAAGUUUUUAUCUAUGAAGUAGGUGGAUUGGAUUCUUCACUCAUUCAUUAUCAGUGGUUUGUUUUAGAAUUGUUUUUGGUCUGGCUUCAAUCUCCUGAUUUGGGAUGAGGUGUUCUUUUUUCACAGCGCGGAACUCAGAAGAUCUCCAGGAUCUCAAUAGGAAUUGUUAGUGUCGUAUGGCUACUCGCUGCAGCUUGCUUUUUUGUUGCUUUACCUAGCCAUUCUUGGCUCUGGCUCAUCUCCAUCUUUAAGUGAGUAUCUCCAUCUUACUAUAAAAAGCCUGUAAAUUAUAUAUUGCAUGAAUGAGCGACUGUAACAUCUUAGUUAUGCGAUAUGCACAGACCUCCAGGUUUCAAAUGAUCUGUAACAGCUUAUGAUUCAGUUUGUUCAACUUUUUCGGUUCUACUUCGAAAACUAUAGCUUGAGUGAGUCAUUUGUCUCAUUACAUUCUAAUGCCGCAAUUUGUUUGCAGCUCGAUUCAAGUCUUCAUGACGGUCAUUAAGUAUAUUCCACAGGUUUGGAUGAAUCUAUUUAUGAAAAUAUCGAUUCCUACUCUGAUUAUGCUUAACCUUACUUGUCUUCUCUUGUUUCUGUUUGGUUGGCUUUGCAACACAGGUGGUAAUGAAUGUCAUUCGUAAGAGCACCGAGGGAUUCAGCAUUGGAAACAUUUUGCUUGAUUUCACCGGCGGUGUUGCCAAUUAUGCACAAAUGGCAGUACUUUCUAUCGACCAAAGUUCGUAUCUUUCUUCCCUGCAUAGACAUUUCCAAUCAUUUCCCUUUUUCACAUACUAAUGUUUUUCAGCUGUUGAUUUUCGUUUGCCUACUUGCAGAUUCUUGGGUCAAUUUCUAUGGCAACAUAGGGAAGACACUACUCUCUUUGGUAAAGAUAGUUGCUAUCAAAUUUCAUUUUAGAUGUAGAGUUGUCAGAAUCUUACAUUGGCUUUGUAUGGCUACACAAAACUUUCAGGUUUCGGUAUUCUUCGACAUUCUAUUCAUGGUGCAGCAUUACAUCGUGUAUCGAGCGAAGGAGAUCAGCGACGCUCCUGGGAAGGCGAACAGUGAUCCGCUUAUCGAAUCUUCUGUUGAAGAGCCGCAGACUGGAAGUGUUGUUUGAGUUUGUUCGCACUUGUCUAGGUAAAAAUCAACUGCGGUGUAAAUAAUGGAUAGUUUGGGAUCAGAUGUCCUUUUUCCAGUGAUUUUCUCUUCUUUUCUAGUUCCACCAGUCUCCUCAAGAACAGGAAGGUGACUGGUGAAACUCAAAUUGUAAUAUUUAUACUAGAUCAACACAAUGUUUUAGCUACUGAUCAAACUUCCACAUAUGCAAUAGGCAUCUGUGUUUGAGGACUUGAAAGCUACCCAGUGCCCAAGCAACCGAAGCAGAAUCUACGAAAGGUUACAGAUGUGUAAUUUUCCAAUCGAAACAGAAUCUUCGAUUUCGUAAAAUAAAUUUAUCGUGUUUUCAUGGUACUCGAUUAGAGAUGUCCCAUCGAGUCGCUUCCCUUGAAGCACUCUAGAGAGAUAAGAAUAUCACAGCAUCAAUUACUUCAGGUGGUCAGGACAAGAACUAACGAGUUCUCAGAUUCUUGAAGCAUGGCAAACACAAAACCAAAAGGUCAAACACUAUAUACUUUCAUAACUAGUCAGCUUGGCUCACUUUAGAACGUGGUUCCAUCAUUUGUAAGAAAGUUUUGCUAUAAUGUGGACAAAAGAAAUUUGUCCAGUCAUCAACUUGCAGUUUUGGAUGUUUGCUGACGAGAAGCAGUAGUAUUCUCAGUGGCAGUUGCAUUCAACCUUGCACGUAGAGACCUGGGAUUGUUGUUGUUUUCGUUCUUCUUCACAUUUCUGCCGCUGUUCUUGCUUGCACUUCUCUCAAUCAUAUGUGGAGUAGUAAUCUUCACCAUUGAAGGAUCCUGAAUCUCCAGUUCUGACGGUUGAGAAUCCGUCAAUGGAACCUGUGGAGAAUCAUUCCAAUUAGGAACCAUUUCUGACUACAGAAAACCGGAACAAUGGCUCGCAAAGGAUAAAACUUUGAACCUUGUGAAGUUGGUUCUUGGGUGUUACUAUUUGCUUGUAGAAUCCUGGUAAUGGCCUGGCCUUGAAGCAAAGGCUCUGCCGGAACUUCUUAAUCUCUGUUUCUGCCUUUUCCUACGUAGAAUUAGAAUGAACAUUAGACAAGAUCAAACAUUCUUGUUAAUUAAUGCAAUCAUGGUAAUGUAAGUGUAAAACUAACUAACCUUGAUUGUUGCUUGUAACUGAACUUUCUGUUCUUGUUUAGCAUUGAACUUCUCUUCUAGCUUCUGUAAGAAAACCAAGAAAUUCAUUCAAAGCCUUAUGAUUAUUAAACUUCAUUCAUACCAAUAUUUUCAUCGAUGGCUCGCUCUAUCACCUUUUUCCGCCUUGUAGCUCUUUCUUCUGUUCUGAAAGGUGCGGUAAAACUUGGUGAGUCCUGGGAUUUGUUUCUGCUGCCACUCAUGAACUUGGAGCAACUAUCAUGAACAGGAAAAGGAAAUAUGUUAUGUUGUUAAUGUCUGUUUAAUUAACGAGUCAGGGUUGGAUUCUUGGCUGGAAUUCUUAUUACUCUGUAGGGAGGAAAUGCCACCUUGGCCUAACUGGCUUGCUUUCAGUGGUUGCUGCCGAUGGAUGAAGAGGUGUUCUUGCCCUGCAAAUGACUCUCAAAAACUCAAGUGAGGAUCCAUCCAUGCCAAGUAUGUUUUGUCACAAGUGGAAACUAGGAAAGACAAAACGGGACGAAUAUCUCAAAUUUUGUACUCGUUGUCAGUGGCGGAUACAGGGGACUCCACUUGAAGUAUAGAUUAUUUAAAAAUCAUGUGUAGUUGUAUGCUAUUGUCAGGAUUCGAAUUUCGGACUCCACAAGAAACUUAGUAUAACGUGUCGAAAACAUGUCAGAUCAGGUCGGCUAGGCACACAGGCAAAUCUAAUGUGCUCAAGUUAGUGCAAAUGUCUGAAAACAGCAGAUCAGAAGAUACACACACCUCCAGGUUUCGGACUGAGGAGUCAUUUGAGGAUGCCUGGAUUCGUCUGUUCUACAUGCCUACCAAAUUACACAAGUUUUAGUAAAAAGAAAGCAUAUAUUUUGUGAAGCAGCAUGGUCAAGAAAGUAAACUUACCACAGUUGGAGUUCUUAGAGGGGUAAUUGAGGAGAAAUCCUUGGCAGCCUUAUAAGAAGCUCUAGAGCAACCAUCGAUCUUCCUGAUAAUGGUGGAAGUUAGUCUGUUGAUUUCCCUCACUGGAGUGAAGUUCAUUGAUGCCUUGUUGCAGCUGUGAGUUGAUUUUGGCGUCGAUCUCUUGCUCAUUGGAGUAGCAGCUACAGGGCAUUUAGCCGCCGGUGAAGAAAAAGCUGCAACUUUGGAUGAUGAUGAUGAAGCUGCUGCCUUACCAAAAACCAGAGUCCUUGAGAAAGAAACUGAAGGCUUCCUCUUCAUCAUCAUUGAGGAGUCUGAAUCGUUAGCCAUGAAAUCCUGCAACAUAUUGGCCACAAUGCGGUCUAGUUUUAGUAACCAUUUCAGGAGAGGAACUAGGAUUCAAAGAUGCACUGAGCCGAAUUCGGGAAAAUAAUAGCUUCUAAAACAUGUACAUAAUAUACUACUUGCUUUAAUAUGUUGUAUUAUUUGUUACAAAAUCACUCAAACAGAUAUUAUAUUUGUUCCUAAAGUGUUAGCAAUAUUUUUUAUCAAAUGAAAAUUAAAAUGUGAUGACUGAGCCGACUGAUCUAAUCUAAUAUAGGACUGACCUUCUGUACUUGAAAAAUUUGUACAAAGACAUGGUCUAGAUUUUACCUUCAACAAUGGCUUUUCCAUUUGUUUGUGAACUGAAUUCUCAGCAUCUUUAGUACCAUCUUCUUCAACCUUGCUAUCAACAGCUUCAUCAACCUGGCUCAAAGCCUCCACCUUUACGCAACUAAACUCAACAUCUUGCUUAUCUGGUGAUGGGUUUGAUUCAUCUUCCAUAUUGGGUUCGGAUUCCACACAAUUUGUUUCCGCAACAGCAGCGGCGGCAGCCGCUGCCUCUUCUGCUGCUUUGGCAGCAGCAGCAGCCGCCUUUUUUGCAGCAAGAUCUCUGUAAUGAGCCUCAAAGAAAGCUUUUUUCUCAGCAACAGAGCCAGGGCGGGAGAAUUUCUCAGCCUCCUCGACAUAUUUGUUGCUAGAAGAGAAAGAUGACCAUUUCUCCCAUGACAGUGACUCCGACUUAAACCUCCCAAAUGAAACUGAUUCGUUAGAAAUGCCUGCGGCGUAGGAGAAGGGUUGUUGGUGGUGGUGGUGGAGGAUGAGACAAGUAGCAGUUUCCCCCAUGAUGUCUCUCUGUGGAUCUUUGGAAACCUCGAACUUGUCUUAAUGUUUGGAACCUGUUUUAAUUGUUUUUAUGUUUUGCUUUCUUGUUGCGGUAACAAUGUUUGGGUAGCUAGCCGUUUGAAUUUGAAUUUCAAACGGUAAAGAAAGGAAGAAAGUAAAAGGGUGCAUCGGGUUUAGGCCUGGAGGGGUCCAUUGGAGGAAAAAAGGUUGAUGUUGUAAGUUAUCUUUUUUGUUUUGUUUAUUCAACCAAAGAGAGUGUGAGCUCUGAACUCUGAAGUUUGGAAUUUGGAUUGGAAACAAAGGUCUGAUUCUGCAGUGUGUUACGCUUUUGUUUUUCAAAAAUUGAAAGAAAAGUCAUAAACAAUAUUCCUCAAUCGUGUUACGUGGUGACAUUAUAAAUUAGUGAUUCUCAUAUAUCAAGUUCAAAUUUAAAUUAAUCACAUACUACCAUAUAAAAAGUUAAAAAAUUAGUACAAUAAAAAGUUAAAUACUGAAUGUAAUAUUUAUAUACUUUUUAUUUUAUACUCACUAAAAAUUAGUUUGGUUAUGUGGUUAACCGCUAAUCACAUGACAUGAAGUUAGUAGUUAGUGGUUAACCACACAAUAAUGCGAUAUGAUUAGCAAUGAGUGAUUUGGUUUAAAUGAGAUAGUUUAGUUGGUAAAGUUCUCUAUCAAUGAUUUAGAGGUAUUGGGUUCGAAUCUGAUCAUCUGUCACAAAUUGACACUUAUGUGAUGUUUUUUUUCUUCUAUCUUAUCAAAAUCACUUACAGUGGCAGCUUAUCCUCAUUUGCAUUUGUCGGUGGUCCCGCGUUAUGCUAAUAAAGUUGAUCAUAGCUAGGCAAACUCUUUCAUAUCUUUUGAGCGGUGUUGAAGCCGAUCUCACAAUUUAGGUAGAUACUUAUUAGUUUAUCUUUCUUGUAGACUAUCUCGAUUCCUCCCCGUUGAGAACUAUCUGUGCAAAGAAAUCCGUUAACGAUUUGACUAAAAUUGCAGUUCGGUUAACCCUCACAGUUUCGUUACUCAUUAAUCAAAGUUAGUAUUUACGUAUCGAUGUGUUUGCCGCCUCAAAUGUAGUGACCAAUCGAUAAGUUUUCAUUACCUUGACCGCCGGCUCUCGCUUUUUUUUUUUUUUCUUUUUUUCUCUUCUUCUGUACUAUUACAAAACAAUCCAAAACCGACCAACAUCACAAUCGAUAGGUAAUAAGAAAAAUUUAGGAUCUUUAACUCUUCAAACCGGUGGGUCUUCUACGGAGAAGAAAAAUGCCCAGAUAGAGAUGGCAAUUUUCGCAUCAAGAUUCUGCAUUUUAUUUAUCUUUCUCUGUAUUGCAAUCUCUUUGCAAUCGAGGAACUGUCAUUCUUUCUCUGCUGCUGUAUUUCAGGUACUGAGCUUUAUUUCAAACUUCUGAUUUCGUUUUUGUAUCUUGCUCCAGAAUUUGUGCUGAAUUGUGUGCUCUAUUGAUCCAGGGUAAUCAAGGAUCUUCUGUCCCAAGGUAAAAACAUGGUGUAGAUGGCUGGAAUUUUCUCAUAUUUCGCAUUUGGAUUUUGAUUUUUAAGUCUUAGGGUAUUGGUAACUGAUUUUGAUAGCUUUUAGCUUUACCUUCUGCAAAAGCUUAAUCUUUACACAAAUUCGAUGCUAUGUAGAACCCUAGAUGAGGAAAAGGGGAAUGCUCAUGAGGUGCAUUGUUCAAGAGAGAGGAGUAGGGCAGCCUGGAAAAUUGUUGAACAGGUAUUUCGAUUCGAAUUGGAAUCGGAUAAUAUGCUGCUGCAAUUUCUAUGAUCUUCACCAAUUGUUCUUAUUUGAUGGUUGGUUUUUGUUUCAGUACUUAAUGCCCUUUGUUGAGAAAGAAAAACACAGCAUGUCAAAGAAGUGUCCACUUCACCCUGAGAAUGAUCUCUACCGUCUGCAAGAGAAGAACAAGAUCCGGGAAGACGUAAACCUAUGGCGAUGUGGCUACUGCAAGAAGACGCUAUACGAAGAAAAAAAACUCGACAAGCAUCUUGAUGAAUGGCACUUUGAUGUUCUAGAUGUGGUAUGAUUUUGCUCUUUUGCUCGCGAUGAAUUCUUUACUAAAUCAAGCCUGACUAAACUUUCUUAUGGACACAAUUUCAUUAGUACUCAUUCAUCUGUUUGAGGGACGGCUCUAGGCACUUAGAUUGAGAUAGUUAUGAUCCAUCAAACUCGAUCCAUUAAUCUUCCUACUCAGGGUCCCGGCAGGUGCUUGGCAGAUUCGUGUGGCGCAUUACAUUGUGACCUUGUGAUGGAUUCAACGCGCAAAACCAAGUGCAAUCCAGCAGCUGCUGCAAGGAAUAAACAUCUAUGUGAGGUGAUAUCCAUUCGCAUUUAUCAUCGUCUCCACCGCUUUACUGUUUGUGUCAAGUUGAUUCAUCUUACCGAUAAGAUAUGAUAUGCAGAGUUUGGCCGAUCGUUGCUUUCCGGUCAAUGAGGGUUCCUCAGCUCGUCGUCUUAAUGGUGAAAAUUUUGAACUGUUCUAUCUGUUCAUGUUAAUCAUAUUUUCAUAAGGUAAAGAUUCAUAAUAUCUUAAUCAAAAUCCUUCCUGGACGGACAGACCUUUUCUUACGGCAGUUUUGUGAUGCCCACACUUGCAAGGGAGGCCGGAAACCCUUCUCAAGAGGCGGCAAGGUAUACGAGUUUUCUUCGAGCGCUACGAGUUUCCUUCUAUUAUGAGAAGUACAGUUCAGUUUCCACUCUUAAGUCUCUAAAGCCUAUUUAAAACUUGGCUGAAUAGGAAAACUAGGGUGCUUGCUUUCUGAAGCUUAGUUGUCUAGUUGAUAUGGUGGAAAGUGGAUACAGUCAAACAAAGGCUGCAUAUCUUGUAAUGUGUAAGGUUUGACUUAGUUUUAUGUACUUGCAGAAGAAGAGAAACAUACUCUAUAUCGUAGCUUCGGUGCUGGUUUUGCUUUUGCUAUCGCUCUUCUACGGCUUCCUGUACUUGUAUCAGAGGUGGGUGGUUACUACUACUUAUAGGGUAGCUGAAUGAUGUCAAAUCUGUUUUGCCGGCAAAUGCUUCAUGGCUGUGAAAACUGUUAAUGGUUUGCAGGGGACUGAAAAGGGGAAGCAAAGGUAUGAAGCGCAUUAAGAAAACUGGACCGAAGAAACAGAGUUGAUUGCUUACUCAACACAUUUGUUCAUGAUGUUUGGUUUAGUUGGCUUGGCUUUAUGCCUGGAAAGCAUUUCCUUGAUUGCCAUGAAGUGAUUGUGUGACCAAUUUCCAUAUACAGAAAUACACAUGUGCGGAGUUAGUUCAAGGACACAGAAUUUCUCAUUAUCCUUGUACUUUUAGGAAAACAAUUUGAUCCCAUGGGUAGACUGAAAAAUGUUACAGACACUGCUGUUAUGUUGGUGGCUACCACUGUAAAAUCAAUGUUUGUGAAAUGAAAAGCGAUCAGAUAUCCAACCUGUGAGAUGCUAAAUGUUUAGUAUUUGAUUGUAUCUAUAUUCGGUUUGAUGGUAUCGAUAUUCGGUUCACAAACCAACUUGUGUUCUAGUUUGAUUAGGGGAUUGAGAGACAACAUGAAUACUAGCUUGACUGUAGGACUUGUGAAUAUUCCUAAUAGUAUGACUUGACUCAAAUACUCUACGCUCUAAAUCAUAUGUGACUUAAUUGAUGACUCAUAAAUAUGUUAUGUUACUUGCAAGACGGGGCAUAUAUUAUGUCGAUAUACUAAUUGGGGUCGAGCUGAGUAUGGCUUAUCAAGAAAUGUUAACGAACUGAGCUCGAGUAUGCAAGCUCCAAUGUUUAAAUUGGAUAAAAAAUUAAAGAAUUGAGUUUUGAACAUGGGUAAACUCAAUUCAACUGGACCCCUAUGCAUCCCCUAUCUAUCUAUUUAACUAGUACACUACAAAAUUUAUGUUGGAGUUUGGUGAUCCAAAUCUCUAAUGGUGUUAAAAGGUACUCGUUUGAGCUUUCGUCGCAGCCGUACUCCAAUCCAGUUAUUUUUUUUCUGCAUUGAUUUUCCAUGUAAAUAGUUCAUCUGCUGUAUCUUCCAAUCUAAUUUCCUUACCAUAAUUAUAUUGCUUGUCAGAUUUCUAUCAUUUAUAAUUUUACUUUACAAUUAAGCCUGCCAGUGGCUAAGAAUCUAAAUCUUGCAGGAUCCGGCGCUGUUUCAUGUUUAAGCAUGGGGGGCAUGCAUGUCCUGGUUAAGCAAGGAUUAGACAGAACCAGUUUAGUUAUGGGAGCACAGAACAAUGAAUCUAGUCUAGAACUAAGAGAUGAUGACUGUAUAUAAUAUAAAAUUUGCAGAAGUAUAUUACAAAACCACCCUCAUCAUUAGAUUGGCAACUACCGACUUUUAUUUAUAUUGUACCAGAACGAAGUUGAACUGAAGUACUUAAGUUAUAUGAUUGGAGGCAACCCUCUGUCUCUGCAUCAUACUUCAUAAAGAGAAGAAUCAUUUCACCAAAUCACUUUGAGAAACAAACAAAUUAAACUUCUCACUCUUCCAACCACUAACAAAAACAAAUGUGACUUGAAACAAGCUUAGAGAUCAAAGUUUUAUACCCUUUUGAGAUUAUCCAAACGAAAUCUCAAAAAUCGAACUCAUGUCAUUAUGGUUGACGAUACACUUGGCUAAAAAAAGGACCGCGGUUUAGUUCCAAUAUAAUAUUUAAUUCGAUUAUUCACGAAUUUGAAAUUGUUAUUAUUAGAUACGGUGAUCAGGUACGAUGUGAGAUAUGUAAUUUGUUCAAGUAGCGAAAGGAAAUGAUGUUGAUGGUGACGAUGGUUAGGAUGGAUGUCAGAAAAGCCAAAAUGCCUCGACCAAUCUAAUUGGAAAGGAACCACCUUUCCCCCUCACCUACUUGAUGUUUUAUUAUUUUGUUAAUUAAGUGCAACUUGGCUACUUAAUUAAUUUAUUUAUUAUAUGCUAAUUAUGAUGAUGGUGUCUCUAUCCAAUUUGAUUUUAUCAACACAAUUAUUUGGUAUUGGUUUUGAGUGGGUUCACGCUUCAAAUCCUCUUCAACUUGUUUUUUUUUUAAUGAUAGUCUUAGGUGUCAUUUAUGAUUUUGUAGGUGGCUAAGAAAUUGCUUCACACCCACUUAAUAGCUAAUUAAGGUGGCUUAAUAGCUUUGACAAUUGGUUUGGUCCAAAGUUAAUGAUUAAUAGUUGAACCAACCGGAUUAUAAAUAAAAAAAGUUGAACCAACCGAUGGAAUAUGAUAAGAAUUAAUAAUCUUGUUUACGAUUAACGUCAAAAUUUAAACUCUUUGAGCCAUUAUUUCAUAAUAGGAGCUCCUGAAAGAAUAUAACGUUUGCACAUGUUCGAUCAGUCUCGUGCAACGAAUUGUGGACUACUGUUUUGAGUUCGAAACUCUGAUAUUAAGUUAAAGGUUGUUGCAUUUCAGUAAAUAUUCGAAUUUUAACUAGAAGAUUGAACAUUGAUUUUAUAUUAUUUAUUAAUAUAGAGUAAAUUUUUCUAUAAGGCCAUCUCCAUCAAAAAACGUUUAGCAAUUUGUAAUAGAAACUUUCUCGUCAUCACUUUAGCAAUUGUUAAAAUUUUGGGAUGGACAUGCCCUAAAUUCAUUAAGUGCAUUGGUUUGAUCUCUAGCGACAGAUCCUUCAAAAUGGUGCAAUACACCAGGCCGAAUUGUAUAUGAGUUUAAAUUAAACCGUAUAUAAAAAAAAAUUAACCGAACUGAAACUAUAAAGAACAUUCCAUAAUAUCGAAUUUUAAUACAAAAAAGAUUGGGUCAAAACCUCUUUGAGACCCCUGUAUCCGGCGCUACCGAGCUAAUCUCAAUGUUUGACCAUUGAAUUUACCAAAUUUACAGUAAGCCAAUAAUUACAAGAAUAAAUAUAAAUUACAAUCGUCACCUCUUUCAGUUUUGGACCGUUGAUGUAGUGUUGAUAGAGGGAAGCGAGUUACUGGAGAGGCUAUUUAAUUUGGCAAUAAUGACAGCCUAAUCAGAGUCAAAGUCAACUGAGAUGAACGCGUGUUAAUUAUUUAGUUAUUAUAGUUAAUAGGGAUGAAAUAUAUAAUAAUAUAUCUGAAAUAAGUCCAAAUCCGCCAGACGAAUAUUUGCAAUAUAAUGUAAUUCCAUAAUUUUAUCAUAUAGGGGUUGUUUGGUAUGGGGGAAUGAAAAUGAAGGAAAUGUGGAAAUUGGGAAUUGAGGAAUCAGAGAUUGUGUAAUUCCAAUUACAUUGUUUAGUAACGAGGUUUGUAAUUCAAAUGCAAUUCUCAGUUUGUUAGAAAUUUAUUGUGCAAUGACCAUGAUGCCCUUAUUUGAAAUCCAAUUUCAAGACUCGUNNNNNNNNNNNNNNNNNNNNNNNNNNNNNNNNNNNNNNNNNNNNNNNNNNNNNNNNNNNNNNNNNNNNNNNNNNNNNNNNNNNNNNNNNNNNNNNNNNNNNNNNNNNNNNNNNNNNNNNNNNNNNNNNNNNNNNNNNNNNNNNNNNNNNNNNNNNNNNNNNNNNNNNNNNNNNNNNNNNNNNNNNNNNNNNNNNNNNNNNNNNNNNNNNNNNNNNNNNNNNNNNNNNNNNNNNNNNNNNNNNNNNNNNNNNNNNNNNNNNNNNNNNNNNNNNNNNNNNNNNNNNNNNNNNNNNNNNNNNNNNNNNNNNNNNNNNNNNNNNNNNNNNNNNNNNNNNNNNNNNNNNNNNNNNNNNNNNNNNNUCAUCAACACCAUGUAUUGAAAAAGGCACAUUUGAAAGGAAAUGUGGGGUCAGAGGAAAAGUGUUUUCGUAAAACACUGGCCAAUUAAAACUAAACAAACAAGUGUUUGUUUGUUACUCUGAGUUUUGACAAAAUCCUCAUAAUUUCCUCUAUACCAAACGAGACCAUAAUGUAAUUCCAUAAUUCCAUUGUAUUUAUUUCCAUCAUUUUAUCAUAAAAUUUAAUUUCAUAAUUGGAGUAAUCAGAGAAUUCAACCUCAGACUACUUAUGUAUCCUUAUACAAUCAUCUAACCAUCUCAAAUAGAUGAACUUUUUAAUCCUACUACGUAAAUACGAUAUAUUUAAACAAUCAAUCUAUGUUAAAAUUACUAAAAACGUUUCAUUCCAAAACCAAAAAUCUCUAAUUUCAUCGAUUUUCAUAUAAAGAAAGACCCCUUUAGACAAGUUCCGAAAUCAGCCCCCAGCCACAAGUCCGUAACGCAUAAUGCAACUUCAAGAAGGUGAGCCUCCCAUAAUAGAUGAAAUACGUUGCACAUACAUAUACCCAGAAUAAUUCAAUUAUAUUCAAGCUUGACUUUAAUUAAUCAUCGCCAAUUCGAAUAUAUUACUAAUCUUCAUUUAUUUUAUUAUAUUGAGAAUUAAAAUGGGAAAAUUAAUUGCUUAAAUGAUUGCUUCACAUCAGCCAAAUCCAAUUUACAAACACCACCCCCAACAACAAUCACUACCCAAUAUACGCCUUCGAUUUAUUAAAUAGUUUAAACAAGGGCAUAAUUUUUAUGAUAUUAUAACAUAUUAAUAAAGUACAAUUGUAGAAUUAUAUACAAUUGGCAUGAUUUUCCUGCCUCGUUUGGAAAUUGGAAGACAACUACAUAGACAAAGGUAAAGUCUCACUAAUCAAGUAUUAACAUCUCAUAAUCAACAAGCUUUAUUAGCUGUAUGUUUAGGUUGGUUGUCUUACAUGACUCUUUUGAUUUCUAUAUUUUGGUAGUCCUGACUGUUCGGGUGCCUGUAAUUGAAAUUUUCGGUAGGGUUUUUAGUAUGUUGACAUUGAAUGGGAUGUACAACUAAUCCUCUUUAGCUUGGCGAACACGAACACCUAAUGUGUCUCUUAAUAUCUAGGUGUGCGCGUGUUAUCGAGAUCCUCUGCUUCCUGUCUGCUUACAUGUCCUUGGAUUCACAUUCAAAUUGUUGGCCAUAGUGGGAAUAAAGCCGCUCAAUGGCACAAAAGGCUCUUUCAUAUUUUCCAAAUUGUAUAGAAGCCGAUCUUACAGUUUACUUUUCUUUUGUUCGUUUAGGAGCUAUCUAAGGUAAAAAAAACAUCACUAUUAUCUUAACAUUUCACUACUGUUAUGAAAAUUUGAUAUUAAGAAUUCGAGUUUUUUCCUCAUGAAUAAAAAUGUAUUAAGAUUUAUGUCAUUGGACAACAUCUAUGAAUGAUAAAAUAUAAUUCCGAGUAUUGUAUGAAGAGGAAUAAUCUCACUUUUAACUUAUAAGACAUAUUUUUAGAAUAUAAUGGAAGAAUUCUUGUAAAAAUCUGAAAAGUUUAUCGUUGUUCCGCAAAAAAUAAUACCGAAAUAUCGGUACAUCCUUUCGGGAAGUCACUCCCUUGCAGGUUUGCACCCUUUUAGGUGACCACUGUGGGCAACACAACCAUGAGAGUCCUUUUUUUCCUGUUCAUAAAGGGGCUGCAGAAUAUUCGAUGAGAGGAUUUUUUCCUUGACCUGUUACAAUGUUUAGAUAGAUGCAUGCAUGUCACUCAAAAUAAUACAAAUUAUUACAUUAUGCCACCAAGUGAUUGAUCAUCUUCAAUCUCUUGUCAGUGGAUUGCACGACUGUCUUUCUUUCUCCACUUUUAUUUUCUUAUUCAAUCCCCUAUUUAUCCUUUUUAGGAUUAUCCGCACGAUGUUGCGGAAAGUUAAUUAAAAUCCUCUCCCAAUAAUUUGAGUUAUUGUGAUGUAACGGUUCAUGACAUAGUAUCAAAACUUUUAAACCAAACAGGCGUAUGUUCGAAUCCCUAAAAUUCCCAAUAUUAACAAUUGAUUUAACUACAGGAUUGCUAGACGGUCUAAUUCCCACUUAUAUUUUCUUAACAAAUUCCCCUAUAUAUCCUCUUAACUAAACUUUUUCAACCUGAACUUCUGAGAAAUAAAGGAAAUCAUAUCGAUCCGUGCAUAAAUUUAGAUGAUUAAAAUGAUGUUUUCCGGUCAAAUAUUUGGGCCGGAUUAAGGUUGGAAUUCCGGACGUACGUUCCAAAUGCAAAAAAAUGGCGAAGUACAAUUAUGUCGGAAUUUGGGUCCAAUUUUAACCGAUUAUGACUCUUCAAUUCCAACUAAUUUCGACUUUACAAUUUUGUUAUAAUCUCGACGGAAUUACAAUCAACUCCAACUUCAAUGCAAAUUCUCACAGAAUUGAUAAUUGAAGAGGAAUUUUUAGUAAAAAAACUAAGCCUAAGUUGCAAAAUGUACCUGGGACUCCAGUUUCCCUUGAUUCUUGAUUGAUUUUUUCAUGUAGGGAAUCAAAGGAGUUGUGUCUGCUAGUUGAAAAUUUGUCUCUUUGGUAAAAGUCUUUCUGCAGAAAGUUCGUGAAGUACGUAGAACAAAUAGAGAAGAUUCUCAGUCAUUUUCAAGACAAGAAAGUGAGGUUCGUAUAUGAUGAGAUGAUGAAAAGCAUCAAAGGAAUAUAUGUCAUAUACAUAGAGUUUGUUAGGAGGAAACUUGAUUAGAGAAGCGUGACGGAUCUUCCUCCACGAUCAAACGUUUCUAUCAUGUAAAUCAUAAUGAAAUUUAAAUAGAUCGAUAACGGAUAAGAUUAAAUGAAAUUGUUGCAUCGUUGCAGAGAGAUGAUGCUCUGCCUCAGUCUUCUCGGCAUAAAAAAAACAAACUGCACAAUGGAAGUUAGCUUGCGCAUAUACUCUUUUUUGCACCCUCUUUGCGACAUACCACAAAAACUCUUAACAGCAUAACGCUCAUUUUAUCUAAAUGUGAAGAAGUGAAACUCUGUUUUUAUUUUUAUUGAUACGAGACGUCAAUACAAAAUUUGUGGUUUUAGAACAGUAAGGAUACGAGGGAUCGACGGUUAUGUGGUCACCGAUAUAUAGCCUCAAACAACUCAAUCACAAUCAAUCGUACAAAUGAUGUGCUUAUCUCUGAAUCAAUCUUUGUGUUUUUAAAUGUGGAUGAAGAAAUAAAAACAAACUGAUUUGUUGUUAUUACAGUAAUGUCCAUUUCCCAUGAAGGAAAAAAUCAUCGUCUAGGUUACCAUUCAUGAAACCAUCAUCCCAAGAGAACAUUGAUGAGUCUACCCCAUCAACCCAUUGUUUCAAAGUAUCAUAAUCGUCAAAUUGAGUGUUCGAGACUACUACCGGUUCGUGAUUGAUACCUCGAUGAUAAUUGUAGUUAUUAUUCGAAUUCGAUUCCUCAAUCGAUGAUGAUAUUGUCGAACCCUGAGAAGUAGUACUUGUGUUACUACUUUUAUUAUGUCCCCCAAAGUACUCCAAGCUGCUUCCACCAAACACUUGAUAGUCCCUCCUCAGUGGAUCAUCAUUAUCAUCAUUAAUAGUUGUAAUUUCGUCCAAUUUUGUCGUCAUCGUCGAUAACUCUAAUUCCUCUUCUAGCUUCUGCUUCUUCUGAUCAUCCCGAUCACCACCCUUUGUGUUAGUGUUAUCGAGAAUCGGUUGGUGGGUGACAGGGUCUACUCCAGCCAACUUAAGUUUCCUCUUUAUCCUAGUGUUCCAAUGAUUUUUGAUCUCGUUGUCCGUCCUUCCAGGUAAAUGCGAGGCAAUCUUUGACCACCUAUAUAUGCAAACAAUUAAUAUGAGUCAUUAUUAAUGUUAAUCUUCCUAUUAAUUAAUUAAUUGCUUAAUCUCAUUAUUGUUCAAACUUCAAACGCCCUUAAUUAGCUAGUUUGAUGAGUUAUUAUAUUAAUGAAUAAUAUAAAUAUCAAUCUCAAUCCUCUCCCAACAACCCGAACGAUUCGUAACAAGUGAAUGGUAAGUACCUGUUUCCAAGGCGGCAAUGGAGCUGAAUCAUCUGAUUCUCCUCAGCUUCAGUGAAAGCACCUCUCUUAAGAUCUGGCCUCAAGUAAUUAAUCCAUCUCAACCUACAACUCUUCCCGCACCUUAGCAAACCUGCCAUACAUUACAAAAAUUCGGAUCAAAUUAGUGAAACAAUUACUAAAUGCUUAUAAAGAGAGAAGCUUUGUUUGUCGACGAGCAAGUAGAGGCAAACCACUUCGACUCUUUUAAAUCGUCGUUGAUUUAGAGCACACGACUGAUGAGUUCAAUGGAUGCUAAUUACCUGCAAGCUUAGGGACCAUUCUCCAGCAAUGGAUGCCAUUGUUGAGGAUGAAGUUCAUGAGCUUGUGGUCUUCUUCAAUGGUCCAUGGACCUCUCUUCAAUCCAACCUUUUCACAACAGGGUUGUCUUCCCAUGGCUUUAACUGUUUGCUGCAGCUAGAGAGAAAUAAUGAAGGAGCUAGGAAUCAAGAGGAAAUGGCUCAACCAAGGGAUUUGCAGCUUUUUAUAUACAGGGUACUGGGAACUUAUAAUGGGAGCAAAAGAGAUGCUGCCAGUUCAUGCAGACAAAAUUAUAACCAAUGGAAGGAUGCAUCAGGGAGCACAAAUGAUUGGUUGGUUUAGAGCAAAUUAUAAAUAUUUAUCUUGCCAAUGGAUAUUGAUUAUAUGCAAUUACUCUAAUUUUUUUCCAUUAUUUAAAUUGGGGAGUUGGUUUUGGUAUAUUUAUUCAACAUCUGAGUUAUAUACAAGUUGCGGGAGACCAUAAAUCCGAGGAAUGAUUCAAGCGGCUAUAAAAUCGCGGUCAAUAUGAGACAUGUUUUUAUUAUAAAAACAAAGACAACGGAAAUUCACAAUCGAAAAGUCAGGUUUGGAUCGAAAUAUGUACGGAACAUCACAUAUGAUUACUGCCGUAUUGAAUACAAUGAAAGGAGUCGAGUUUUGUUAUGAAACACACAGACGUGGAUCUGUCUUGGUUGACAAAUAAUAUUUGGGAAAGUCGUGGUUAUAGAAUUGAAUAUUAUAAACGUAACACAGGCAAAAAGACGACAAUUAAUUAAGGACUUGGUAAAGAUUCCUUCCAAAAGCUUAAGCUGGCCUUCUUUUUGUCGUUGGAACCUAAUGAACUAACUCCCCUUAUUAUAUAAUAUCUCCUCACCCUCGUCAUCUUUUCUUCUCAACUCUCAACUCCGUCAGCAAUCGGCUAAUUUAAAACCAGUUGUAACUGAUUCAGUAUAGCUUGGGUGAAAAGUUAUUUGAAAAUUUCGGUACAACUCGACUCUCGUUGUGCCAUACAGUUGAUAUGUCAGGCGAUAUGGAUGAUUCAUCAGUUUUUUGCUAUUGUGAACUAAACUAGUAUUUCUCACUCCGUUAGUUUGAAUUAUUACCAUGUUCAUGAAUUGAUGCAGAGGGCGUAAGAGAUCAAAUUUCUUCAUAUUUAUAGAGAAGGCAAUCAAUAUACAGCAGAUUAUAUAAUUUUGUUAGUAUUGGACACCAGAUAUCCUUGGGCAUAUAAUUUUUUCUAUUUAUGAUCCAUUAUUGUUGUUGAAAUAUUAAUCCUGAUAUGAUGUACAUGGUGUCUCGAAAAACAGACUAAUUAUGAAUGAAGGUUAGUUACAAUAAGCCUAAAGUGAACCUGACUAUUCAUUAUUGUCACUGAUCAUUUUUGUUUUUUAUAUAUAAUUAGGAUAUUUAACAUCAAUAACAAUAAUAAAUUAUUUCGUCACGAAUGCUCGCAUAAGAUGACAAACAAAUGAUGAUAAAGUGAUGGCGCAAGAAUCAAAUCUCCUAAUCUCAUAGUCACUUCAUCUUUGUUUGGGUUAAGGGAAUCGUUGCUACAGAGGCCGCUGCCACAGCCCACGGGGAUACGAAGGCAGGAAUUGUUGGAUCUAAAAAGUCUUACAGGAUGGGCUUUAGGUUUAAUUCUUUUGAGCCCAUUUACAUUAAUGGAUUGUACCGAACAGCCCAGCCCAAUGACUCUAUUCAAGACGAGGUGGCAGACAGAAGAAGGUGGAGCCGAGGAAGAAUUUGAUAGGGUGGGAAGUGGCCCACGUUAGGUGCAAGUACGACACUUCUAUUUAUUAGAUUAUCCCUCUGUACCUAAUCUGAUUUGGCCGCUUAUGGUAUUGGGUUAGUCGGAUUACGAACACAAACUUGAUUCUUAUUAUGCUAAUAAUAAUAUGAGAGAUCGAAAUAAGAAAUAUUAAAGUAUUUUACGGCCAAAAAGAAAGCGAUUGUUAAAAAUGUUGACAAGUGUGAUGUUGUCUGAAAAGAUAGUCGCCGGUUCCAAACUUGUAAUUGCUACAUUUGUAGCUUCCAUAAUUGCUCUUACUUCCACACCAAUUAUUGAGGGCAUAAACAGGUAAAAGACAUACUCCAAAACUAAAAAGAGUGACCAUGAUGAGCAAAACAAUCCGCUAUACGAUUUCCCUUACAUAAAGUAAGAGCGGCACAUUUAAUAAUGUAAGUUAGGACCUCGUUCGGUACGAGAUAUCAAAAAUUGAAACUGAAGUUGCCAUAACUCACCGUAAUUCCUGAAUCAAAUAAUUCACCUUCCAUUUAAAUUAAGAAAUAGUUUCCAAUCUUGUACACGCACACAAAAAGUAACCCAAUCGAAUCUUCAAUCAACUCACCACAUUUGUAGAUACAUGUCUUUUCCCACUCCCCCUAUCAAACAAAUGGCAGGCCAUUGUAAGUCGGAUACAACGUCCCACACCCGAUCGCUACCCGGCCGCCACCACCAUUGGCCGACGACGCCAUUCAAUUUUUUUAUACAAUUUUUUUUAUAAAAAUAAUACCGUUACCAUUACACUACAAAGUCGCCGUUCAAUGGUAACGAUAUUAAAAGACGACGGUGUUUUAAUACCGCCGCCAUUGAAUGGUGACUAUGUAGUGUACACCAUCGCCAUUGAAUGGCGAUAAUAUUAAAAAAAAUUUGAAAAAUUUGUGUAUUUUAAUCCGUACAUUAAGAAUAUUAAUUAUCAAAAUUAAAAUUUCGAACUAUAUAAUAUGUACAUUAUAUUAAAUAUUAAUCAUAAUAUUUUUUAUUUAAAAUUUGUAUUUAUGUAUUUCAAUACCUUAAACCCUAACCGCUAAACUCUAAACCUUAAACUCUAAAUACUAUCUCUACAUUUAACCACUAAACCCUAAUCUCUAAACCCUAACCCUAAAUCUCAAACUUUAAGCCCUAUCUCCAAACGACAAUUUUUUAUUUUUAUUUUUAAUUUCGUACCUCAACAACAACCAUAUAUAACAAUAAAUUUUAAUUUUAGAAGGAUUGAAGUUAUUUCAUACCACAAAUUUAAAUAUUAAAACGUUGAACCAUAAAAAGCAUGUCGUUUUGUAGCAACCCCUUUUUCAUUCUCCCCCCUUUCACUUUUCUCAGACACCGAUCACCAAGCCAUCUCUUCAUUCUUUCACUCAACCCCCAAUAAUUAAUUAAUUCUCCACAGUAUAUUAGUUUCAAUGACAAUAAGCAAUAGAAUCUAGCAAAGCUAUGAAGGAUCACCGGCGGAGGCGUGACGUCAUCUGCAGCAGGUUUUUCUGGUGCACUCUCUUCUUCGUCGUUUCCUGCGUCCUCUUGACCGGAUUCAAUUUCUCCUCCUCCUCCCGCUUUCUCUUCUCCCUUCCUACUGGUAAAUUUUAAAUUUCGAUUCUACUACUGUUCGAUUAAUUCCCCUUUCAAUUUGAUUUUCAAAUCGACUUUUCUACCUUUCUCUUCCAGCAGAAAGGCUGCACCCGGAGAUAUUGCCCAGAUGGCGGACUAUGGACGCCGUCUCCGCGGCCGAUUUAUCUAAUCGGAAGUUGGACCCCAACAGCAAGAUAUCGAUUCGGGACGCCGUUAUCUUUCCUGACCAAGUUCUUAUAUUCCUAAACUACCCUCACUCCUCCACGUCAGCUCGAUUGUCGUUGACUCGAGACGACGUCCUCGACUGCGUUUACUUGAACUCAUCUUCCUCCUCGCGGAGGAUACACCGCCAGCCGCCGUACCGCGUGGACUGCGACAUCGUGCGGUGUCCGCUGGAUCCACGUGGCGCGAUCGUGUCUUCCCUCUCUUUGAAAUCAUACGGCGGAAGUGGGGUUUUGCUGCCUGCGGUCCCCGCUCGUACGUGGCGCACGCUGGUUUAUGAAGCUAUAUUCGACCGCGACAAUACUACGGUGGUCUUCGUGAAGGGGCUCAAUCUACGGCCCGAUAAGCUCUACGAUGGCAACAGGUUUGAGUGCGUGUUCGGCUGGGAUUCCCGGCGGCCCCGGUUGAAUUUACGAUCCGAAGUCAUCUCCAUCGCUCAAGAGAUCGUACGGUGCGAAACGCCUCUCAGCCUCCUCUCCUCCGUCACGUCAUUCAACGGUUCGGUCAAGGUAUCGAUUCGGGUUAAAGGCAGGGGAACGUUCCGUUCAGUAGCCCGCCCCAAACCCCUACCAGAACCCGACUCGCAAAACACAACCAAACCGAAUCAAUUAUGCAUAUGCACUAUGAUCAGGAAUCAGGCGAGAUUCAUGAAAGAAUGGGUGAUGUACCACGGCGAAAUGGGAGUUGAGAAAUGGUUCAUCUAUGACAACAACAGUGACGACGAUCUCAAAUCAACGAUCGGGUCGUUAUCCGAUUCCAGGUUCAACAUUACCCGACACAUCUGGCCGUGGGUGAAAAGCCAAGAAGCCGGGUUCGCUCACUGCGCGAUUCGAGCACGGCCGUGGUGCGAAUGGGUUGGAUUCAUCGAUGUGGAUGAGUUCCUCAACGUCCCCUCGGGUCAAUCAUUAUCGGAGGCUUUGAAGAACCAAACCGAAACUGUUUCUUAUCGAGUAGGGGAAAUUCGGGUUCCCUGCCACAGUUUCGGUCCAUCCGGGUUGACCCGGGUCCCGACCCAAGGCGUGAUAGCCGGGUACACAUGCCGGCUGGUAUGGCCGGAGAGGCACAAGAGCAUAGUGAGACCGGAGGCGUUGAACUCGUCGCUAAUCAAUGUGGUGCACCAUUUCCAUCUCCGGGAAGGAUUCGGACACUUGGAUGUGGAUCGAGGGUGGAUGGUCAUCAAUCACUACAAGUACCAAGUGUGGGAAGUGUUCAAGGAGAAGUUCUACAGGAGAGUGGCGACUUAUGUGGCCGACUGGCAGGAUGAAUUGAAUGUCGGGUCGAAAGAUCGAGCCCCCGGAUUGGGGACGAAGGCGGUGGAGCCGGCGGAUUGGUCGAGUAGGUUCUGUGAGGUGAAUGACACAGGGCUGAAGGAUUUUGUUAUGCGGAGGUUUUCGGACCCGUUGACACAGGUUCUGCCGUGGGAGGAGGAUGGAGCUGAAAAGAUGAGGCAUGGAGGAGAGUUUUGGUAAAGAGUAUUAUUAGAUAGAUAGAUUAUAUUUGAUAAACAUCAGUGGAUAAUUUUUGGCUAAUCCCUUUGUGGGUUUGUACAGUAUGGAUAAUUAAUUUUUGGCUAAUCUCCUAAUAAACCAGUGAUAAUGAUUAUAUUAAUGGUUUUCUGUAACAUCGGCCUCGGGAUCGGGGACUGCACUUCCUUAUAGUUAUGAAGAUAACUAGUCGCCCUGUCCACAAUCUCACACUCUUGUAAACGGAAACCAAAUGAGAAUGACCCAUUUUUCCAGAACCAAGUCUGCGGCAGAAACUCUAACUGAAUCAAACCAGUCAAGACAGUUUUCGAUACGGCCAAAAUCAAAGCAAUCCUUGACCUCCGAAGAAAGCCAGAUCCGCCUACUCCACUGACAAUCACGAAAAAUAUGUAUUUGAGAUUCCGGAAGGCCAUAAAAGGGGCAGAGAUCUCCACAGCUCGGCAGUCGACGACACAAUUUCCAUUACAGUUCAUCGAGGUAGCAGGUACAGUUGGCUGCACAAUCACCUUUUCUUCUUGUAGUAAAGCAUCAAAUCUGUUUCCACCAUUGUCUCGAGGCACUUGGCUUUGUGAGACCUUCCUAGAGGUAGUAUUGUCAUGACGAUUCUUUAUUCUUUGAUAAUAUAGUUGCUUCAUAGAAUUUUCCUUCAUCCAUCCACCAUAUGCUUGUUUAUCAGUAGGAUCCCCCACCACCGCUAAGUCAACCAUCUCUGUCUUCUCAGCCUUUGGUUCAUCAGGGGUACUUCAUUUGCAGCGGUGCGUUGGUAGCCCAUAUUUACCACAAGUAGUGCAGAGAUUCUCCAAACCUUCAUAGGAAACAAAAUACUUCACACCCUCAAUUUUAUACUUGGAUCCGAGAGGUUGAGUUAAAUCCACCUCAACACACACUAGCAAACUUUCCACGUGCUGCCUCUUCCGUAGCCCUAUCAAGCCUAACAGGUUGUCCAAUGCAUCGAGCAAUUCUCUUACCAGCCACCGGAUUAUAAAAUUCAAUUGAUAAGUUCGGCAAUUGUACCCAAACCAUAGCUUUCGUCACCUCGAUUGUCCAAGGGUUAAAGCCGUUAUACCACUGUUGAACAGUAAGAUAAGUGUCUCCCAGCAUCCAUGGACCUCCUGUGAUCGCCCAUUCAUAGUCUUGUUUGCUUUUGAAUCUGACCAGGUAACACCCAUUUUGGAGAUCCGAGAUUUGGAGAGGGCCGUCCCUUGCCCAUGAGUAAUGCAGACGCGGUGCCAAAGCUGAAAACGGGACACUUUGCCCUAGUCCCUUGACCACAAGGGCCAAUCUCUAAGCACUCCGAAAUGAAGCUUUUUCUGCAGCAGUAAACAGGAUAGGACAUAGCGGGUCCUCAGAAUCCUCAUCAAUUACAUCAUCUUCCUCUCGCAUAGCCGAAGCUACGUCCUCAAAAUCAGAAUCAGCAACAUUCCAUUCAUCCGCCCUUCAGCCUUCCUCAAACAGUUUAUCAAGACGUUGCGUCCACGCAUUUGGUGGAGCAGUCGAAUCCUUCAUUUGUUCAUCAUUCAUAUCCUUAUCAUCAGAAUCUAUAUGGGUGACGUCCUCAACAAGAACUUCCUCCAUGUUCAUAGAUUGAUUUAGAUCCAUCAGUUUCACUUUCUUCUUCACCUGUUGGGCGUCCCAAUCACCCUUCGCAGAAGGUGAUGCGGAGGCCUGGGAAGGCCGUCGGAUACCACUCACUGGAUCCGGCUCCUUGGAUUCCGCCGCCGGCGUCAUUCGUGCGCCGAUAUCGAGCAAAAAACUCUGAACAAACCCUUCCUACAAAGUCGGAGCAGUUUUUUUCUUUUUAAGAAUUACGAUUUUAAAAAUAACCUAAAUAGUACUAAUUCUAAAAUCCUGUUAGUGUUUAGGAUUAAGGGUAACAUUUUUAGGAAACGUGUUCAAUAUACAAAUUCGGGUUUAAGGUUCAGGGUUUAUAAUUUUUAGAAGUUAAGAGUUUAAAAAUCGCUUAAGUAAUAUUAGCCGAAAGCCUAAAGAGUUUAGAGUUAUGAGUUUAGGAUUAGAAUUUUUAAUGUUUAAGGUUAUAAUUUAGAAUGUAUGAUUUAGGGUGUAAAGUUAGAAUUUAGAGUUUAUGAUUUAUAAUUUAUGAUUUAUGGCUUGUUACACUAACACUAGUUUGUACCCGGAACCAUUUGGGAUAAACAGAGUCCCAAAAUAAGAUCCUUGUCGAAUAAAAUUUCCCAUCAGAUUCAAAAACAAGAAUUAAGGACCAAUGAUUAAGGAGGGUACACCCAACACCACUGCUCCUGCAACCACCUGAUUCCCACUCUCUUCCCGGCGGUUUCCGCAAAGAUAACACCAGCGAAUGCCUAUUCGGAUUUCAAAAUUUCGACCGUUGCGUUCACUUCGCAGAAUCCAGACGCCCUCGUUUCCUCUUAUCUGACCGGACCAUAGAAUCCGCAAAAAUGCCGGGGGAGGAUCCGACUCACAGUCCCCCAGAUCCGGCCGAGAACGGCGGUGCCGACCAGAACUUGGAGACCAUGUUCAGCCCGAGGUUCAAAUCUGUAGCCGCCAUGGCUGGGUGGGACGAAGAGUCCAUCCUAUUCGCCACCCUUAUCGUGGAAGACACUCCCGAUCGCGAUUUAAACCUCAGCAAAAGACGUGAUCCUCUUUUUAAGGCUCCUCCUCCUUCCUCCGAUUCCAAGAGGUACAUAAAUUAAAGAAAACCUUCUCGAUCUUUCUUUCUGGAUUUGAGCAAAAAAAUUCAAUUAGGGUUCUUGUGGGUUGGUUGUCAGGAAACGGAAUGGUCAGAGGAGGAAUCCCAUUCCAAUUCAUGUGCCUUUUCUUAAUCUCGACGACGAAGAGGAACCACCGCCCAUACAAGAAGGUAACUUUUUUAUUCUUGUGGUAAUUUAGGGUUCUAUCUUUUGAAAAAUGUGUCUGAUUGUGGGAAAUGGUUCGGCAGAGAAUAUCAAGAAGAAGAAGAAUGAGGCAAAAGUGGUUGUGACGGAAGAAGAAGAAGAAAAGAAAGUGUACAAGGAUGGAGUGAUUGGAGAAAGUUCAUGCUCAGAUGCUGCUGUUAUUCCUUGCUUGGACAAGCUUCGAGAAGAACUUUCUUGUGCUGUAAGGACCUCAAUCUAAUUUGAUUGUUCAUUGUCUUUGCUUUGAAAAAAAUGGUUAUUUGGAGAGUAAUGCUGUUUGUUUUUGUGUUUUGGUAGAUUUGUCUGGAGAUCUGCUUUGAACCUAGCACCACAUCUUGUGGACACAGGUAAAAAUGUUAUCCCAUUGCCCUGAUAUUCAUCACACUUGCUGGUUGCAAUUUCUAAGCAGGUUUUGGUUUUGUGUUUUUUUCUGGUUUGUAGUUUCUGUAAGAAAUGUUUGAGAUCAGCUGCUGACAAAUGCGGGAAGAAGUGUCCCAAAUGCAGACAACUAAUAAGGUGAACAGCUUGCAGAAACUUUACACCAUUUACUAGAGCUUUUUCUUUCCAAAUCUUGAUAAUCAAAUCUUUUCCUUGGAUGAAAAACUGCAGCAAUGGGAGAUCAUGCACAGUGAACACAGUUCUAUGGAACACAAUACAGCUUCUAUUUCCAAAAGAAGUGGAAGCAAGGAAGGUAGCCGAGGCCUCGGCCACUGUUGUCCGAAACAAAAGAGCCAACAAUCAUGAGAUAAGGAAGUUUAGUCGAGGCGGUGUUAAUCCUAGUGGACAAAGGAUUUCAACUUGGGUGCAGAAUCAGGAUCCUUCUGCAGUAUCCCAGAGGUUGCAUGAGGAUUCUGCAUUAGUUAGCAGUAGGGUUCAGAGAGUAGAGGCGGCAGCGAGUGGGAGAAGAAGAAGUAGAACUUCAAGAGCUGGAGAAGGGCAGAUGAUACCAAGCCGAGAUGGAGAUUCUGCUUUAGCCUUACGCCUUCAAAGGCAAGAGUUCAUUGAAGGGUUUAGCAGGGAAACUGAUCAAGGGUCAGCUGGAAGAGGAGGAUUGUCAAGGGCUAGAGCAAACUUGAGAGCCAUGGCAUCUAGAGCUGUAAGUGUUCGAUCCAGGGGUCAACUGUAUCCGUAAAAGUAAAAACUGCAACAAGUUCAUAGAUCUGCAGCAUCACUUCUGUAAUAUGUCGAAUGCAAUGUAGUCAAAAUCUCGAUAUUGAUCUUAAAAUUUUACAGUUUUAUAAUUUCAUUGGUCUCUGAAUGAACAGAUCGUCACAUUUAAUAUCGAAACACAGCUCGAAAAAACCGAUGUACAUCAACAGAAGUUCUAUACAGAGGAGGUCUGAGAAAGUAGCAGCUGGAACUGAGGAUCAGUGGUCUUGAGCAGAAGAGGAAGAGGCAUCGUCAUCAUCCCUCUCUCCAGAACCUGCAAGUACCUCGGCUUGAUCCGAUUCUCCAAACUAAACCCAAAAUAAUGCGGAAACGCCUUAAUCUCCUCCAAUCCUCUCCCUUCCAUCCCCCCAACAAAGAACUCAUACUUAGGCUUCAAAUUAUUCUCCACACUAAACGUCAACAACGACGGAAACCUCCUCACCAUCCCGAAAAUCUCGUCCUCCGUCAGUCCAAUCCCUUCCUCCAAGUACUUGAGUUUAGGAACCAGAGUAUUCUCCACGCUGGAGACUAACAGAACCGGAUCGGUGUAAAUUAGGGUUUCCAAUUGCCGCUGUUGGAACCCGAUCGUAUCCCUCAGGUAGGUUGAGUUAGGUCUGAGUUGGCGGUCAACGUCGGAAGUCAAAAUGCGGGGGCAUUUGGUGAUGAUUUUCCGGAAUUUGUAGUCGGGGACUUUGAGAUCGUCGGAGAGGAAGUAGAAGACAGGGGAGAGGUGUGAUGCGACGUCGGAAGUGAGGAGCUGAGGGCACAUUCCGAAGAUUCGAGGGAAGUCCUUGUGGUGGAUGCCUUUUGAGUGGAGGAAGGAGAUGAUAACGUGGAUUGAGUCGAGGGAAGCGGAGUGGAGGUCUGGGUUUUUGGAGAGGGCCUUGCCGGAGUCGACGCCCAUGAUUUCGAGGCAGAGGAUUUUCUCCUUGAUUUGGGUGGUGAGGUUUUUGUGGAGGAGUGGGUUGUUCAAGUGGAGGGUUUUGGUUUUGUUGUUGUUUGUUGGUUUGGCUGAGAGCUUUGUUGAAGAAAUGGUGUAUUGAUGGUGGUGUGGAUCUGCAGGAGCUUGUGAUGAUGCUGCAAUGGAGAAUGCAGAGUGUAACGACGACGACAUGGUGGAAUCGGAGAUGGUGAAGUUCUGUGUGUGUGGGGAAGUGAAGUUUCUUUUUGUGGUGGGAGGAAGGUGACACGUUGGCAGUAAGGUUGAAGAUGAUUGGGUGGUUGUGGAUAGCGUUUGCUGGGGUUGGAUCAAUGAAAUCCAGUUCACAGUUCAUGUUCAUCUUCGCUCUGCUCUGCAGCCACAGAACGAAAGCGAAAUAAAUAUGGUUUUUGUUUUUAUUCUGAGGUAACAUGUUUUGUUAUAUAGAAAAAGAAAACGAGAUACAAAAUAGGAGGGAUGCACUACAAAGGGAAAAGAGAUGAGUAGUGUUCGGAUAACUAAGAGUCUCAUGCGAAAUUAAACGGGCCGGUAAAGUUUUUCGAACGAGAAAUGUGAUGAGCGAGAUUGCAUCCACAGUGCGAAACAGGCUUCGGCACUCAAGCAACAGCUGACCAACCCUGAUGUUGUUAGAAGAUGAGGUGAUAUAUAAGUGGAACGGCCUCUAUUGAGUUAGAGAGAACCGUGAAGGAAUCCACGUACCAAACACUAGCCAUGUAUAACGCCUGCCUGAUUUGCGGGAAACUCUAGCACCAGUGGAUGGACCAAAUGUGGAAAAACCUAUUUCGUAGAUGAGAGAAAAUAGCUGCAAGCUUGAUGAAUGACCAGUCCAAUAACCCCAUAGCCAGGCAUGAAAAGACGUCUCACCGUUGCAUCCAUAUAGAUAGUCUAAGUAGUAUUUGACGGAAGCGAAAUAAAUAUGAUUAAUAUACAAAAAAAAAAGUUAUGAACGUUGAUUAAUCAGGAUUUAUGUUAGUAAUAUGUUGGUCAUUCGAGUUUUAGAUAGGUCACAUUGUGAUCAAUCAAGUUGUAAGUAGGUUUCAUUGUUUCGUCAAAAAAAGUUUUAAGUAAGCAACAAUUUGGUCACUCAAGUUUUAGGUGGGUGAUAUUUCAGUCACUCAAAUUAAAAUGUUAGGGAGGUAUUUCGGUCACUUAAGUAUUAAGUAACUAACAUUUUGGUCACCUAACUUUAGUUUUUAACAAAUCUCUAACUCUAGUUCUGAAUGGUAACAAAUCAAUGUUUCCAUUCACUUCAGUUCGAAAAAGUCGGUUCAAAGUCUGACGUGGCUGAUAAUUUUAAAUUGCCACCUCAAUAAACAGCAUAAUUUCAUUAUCCCCCGAUGAACCAUCCAACUGAAUUUACCGAGAGAAAAAAUCAACCUCAAUAAACCAAAAAGCUGAACCAACCCCCAUAAAUAUAAUUCCAACAAGGAAUAGAAUUAUCAACCCUCCAUGUACUGAUAGUAGAACAGUGGAUACUUAGCUUGUUCAAACAUUGUACUUCCCGUACUAUGUUACCCCCAAAACACAUAAUUACAUCAUCAAAUUAGCAUGCAUUUAUACGAUGAUGUGCACCGGAGUCUCACCGGAAAGCUCGCCGGUUGGUCACAGGGAAGACGUCGUCCGGUACUAAUUUGUCACAUUAAUUUGUCAGUACUAAUCUUUUAACAGUAGUAAUGUAUGUUUGUUCAAUAGAUGACUUAAAAUCUCCGGAGAAGAUCAACGAUCAUCUCGUUGAUGAUGGACUUGAUGUCAAGAGUGUGAAGAUGGUUAAACCCAAGUUCCCUCGUAGCAGGAUCUCCAAUACUUGCGAUGGUGUUCUUUAGUCAUAUGCAGAGGUAUAUAUAUAUAUGAUUUGCUUAGCUUGUUGCUUUUGGUUUGCUACUACAUUUUGUUUAGCUUCUAAUGGUUCUUUUCACUUACAUACGCAUGCAUGCAGAGUGUGGUGGAGGAGCGAGAUAAUAAAGGGAAUCUCCUCAGGAUGCUACGAGUGUAUUGUGGAAUUGUUAUCAAGGAUGGCGGAGUGGCUAUCAAGGCAUAACUUUUUAUUACUUACUUGUUAUUAAGGAAUAAUAGAAUUUGUUAAUCUUCUCAUUGCAACAAUCUUUUUGCUGAGAUGGUACUAUUUAUAUCUGUUAGUUACCAUGAAGGUCUGCUAAUCUGCUAUCUCAAUCUUUUUGCUGCAACAUAAAUUCCAACAAUAAGGAAUAGAUUGGUCAACCCUCCAUGUACUGAUUGUACGAUACUUGUUCAAACAUUGUACUUCCCCUACUGUCUUAGACCAAAGCACAAAAUUACAUCAUCAAAUAUUAACAAACCAAAAGGAAAGUCCAAAUCUGACUUUUCUUAGCAGAAAGUAUAAACUACUGAACAACCCGCCUGCUCCACGCCUCUUUUGAAUAGAACAACUCUCUUGAGAUUACAACACAGGAAUAUUAUGACUUCAUUCAUCACUCAUCACUCCUCCAAACCCUCUUUGUACCUUUCUAUAAGAACAUCUUUCUAUCUCCAUAAUGAAGCAGAACCAUCUCAAUUAUUAGUAAUGGCAGCAACCAGAUCAUCAAGCCAUCAGUUGCUUAUUAAGCUGGCUAUGGUUCUCGUGGCGGUUCUUCUUCUGUUAAUAGAGAUGUCUGAUGCACAUGAGGGUCAUGAUCAUGAACAUAUGUCUCCAUCUCCAAGUAUGGUUGUUGGCCAAUCUGCUGUUGGAAUCGGCUCUUCUCCCAACAUUCUUGCUGUCACAUUGGUCUGUUCCUCAGCUUUGGCUUUCUUCUUUUCUGGGUUUCACUAACUUCUGUCUUAUGAUGUGAUCAUGCGUCUGUGUAAUGAAUAAUAAGACCGGCAGGAGUUGUGUUGUGUUUUGUUGUUUGUCAGAUGCUCUGUUGGUUAGGUUUCACCGUAACCUUGUGAAUGUAUUCCAUCUAAUAAUGUGAUAUAAGAAUCACUAGAUCGUAUCUUUUGACAAUUCUGGAUAAGUUCAACCAAAAUCUACAGUGUACACACGCUACAAUGAUCGCUAAUUAGACUAAAACCCACCAUUCUCAACCAGAAUACAUACUACAGAAAACAUAAAAUUAGCAAAAGCAAAACGGGGAUCUAGUCAUACACCAGCAGAACACAUAAAAUUUCACGAUACAAACCUCUCUAACUAGUAUACACCAAAAAUUGGGAUUUCCACUGCACUCUGACUAUUAAUAUCACAACAGCAUCAAAAGCAUCAUCCCUUCCAUUUGGGACUCUACUACUUCAUCUCACGACCCGCCGGCAUCGUCAAGUCACAGUUCUCAGCCGCAGGCAAAUAUAUCACGAAUAAUGGGAAAGAACUUUCAUAAUCUUCAUCUGAAGAGUGUUCAGUGUCUAUGAGAAUGCUUUUUCCGGCCAAGACGCGAUGGCUCUCCAUUAUCCUUGCUCCUUUGAUGUAACAGCUUCACAGCAAAUGAUAAGAGCCCUAUGACUGCAAUUGGGUAGAAGACCUUAUAGGGAGCCAAUCCCAACCCAGCUAUAUAUGAAUAGAGACCGGCGAGAAGAUAGAUUGAAUCCAAUUUAACUUCCUUCCAUAUCACAAACGAAAGCAAGGAAUUGAAGUCGGGAUUCGAGCAAAAGACACCAUGGAGAACGACGCCGAUGCACAUGGUUGAAUCUAGGAACCAUGGGAAGCUAUGACCUGUGCCUAUUCUCUGCAACCACCAAACGUCAACAAUCGAAUCAGCAAUCAUUGUAACAAGUCGCUAUAUAUAUUCAGUUUGCGACCAAAUGUAGGUAAGGGUAAAUAUAAUGAUAUUGUUUAGCUGAUGCAUGGGAUUGAAUUAUGGAAAACUGAAGGCAAUUUGGUUCUUUGGCAACGGUGUGGCAGCAUCAAACGGAAAACUGACAGCAUCAGUUUCCGUAAUUAACCGAACUGGUAAACAACCAGGUUUAGGAACCAAGGUUGGUUUCCAUUUCCAAGAGAGUAACCGAUAACAGUUAAUCAAUAGCAGCUAAAAAUUGGUUUUGGUUUUACCUACUGCUAAGCCAAACUAGUUCACUAUUUCUAUUCAGGAAUAAUACUCAGUUGACCCUUCACAGUCUAAGAAAAUGAAGAUAGAUGCAAUAUUUUACCUGCACCCAAGCCACGAAAGAAGGGACAAACAUAAGAGCUGCCAUGAGAUGCAGAAUCAGCAACCCAUGUCGGUGAUGGAAGAUCUCUAAUUGCGUGUCACUGAAACUCUUUGAACUGUUUGGACUGUUGGAGCUAUUUUCUUCCAACAGUGCAGGAUUCUGGUUGACCCCAAUUUCAUGCUUUGUUGAAGGUGGCCAAGAACUUUCUUUAUCUUUGUCCUCAUAGCCAAGGAAAUCCUUCUUUCGUGUGUGGCUGCUGCGAAACGAAGCUGUCAAAAAACUGCUACAGAACACGAUGUCUUAGAUGGAUUUUCUACAUAAUAGAGAAUGAACAUAAUAAAACAUAUUCAAAUGGAAGCAAGAGAAGCGGAGUAGUUUAAUAAUAUAAAGUUGAAAAAAAUUACCUGCAUAAAGCAUUGUGACUGCAUAGGGCAUGAGCUAAGAGGAGGGCGAGUAAACCCAAUGAUGGGUGAACAAAACAUCCCAAUGUAAUUGCUGUUAACGCAGUGACCAAAGAUGGGCUGGCUCUUAUUACCCUCAUGGCCUGUUUUAAAAGAAAUUGAACUAGUAUUAGCGUGGUGCCAUUGGGAAUUUCCAGCAAGAGUAAUGGAACCGUCUAAGGCUAAGAAUUGAUUUGGUUAAACCGAACAGGGUCCAAUUAUCUAUUAGUUGACAACUGCAUCUCGCCCAAAAAUCAUAAAUGAUAUCGAAACUGACUAAAACACGAAUCAAGAACACGUUUAGAGUUUAAACAUUGAGUCCACUUUCCCUCUUAGUUAUCCCAGUUUCAGACUUUCAGUUGAUUGAAGACCAACCUAAUUCGGUUUCAAUUUAACCAACAACCAAAAUCGGUUUCAACCACUAGGAACUAUAUCACAGUCAUAUAGACAAGGAGGAAGGUUACUUAGCUCUGGUUUUAUGGUCUCAUUUAAGUAACUGUUGGAUGAAGUAAGAGUAAAAUUGCACAGGAAGGUUCUGAGAGAGAUAGGAAGUUGACCUUAAAUGAGAAGACCCUAGCAGAAAGAGUAAUAAACCAGCGAAGAUACACAAGCUGGAAGUUUUCUUCCCAGUGUUGCCACCUGUAAAGAAUUAGUCCUUGUUAGUCAUUUGUGCACUAAGUUAACGUAUCCCUAUAUCAAUCGACAGAUCACCAUCAGCAAAGUGCUCAGCAAGAAAAAAAACAUACCUUGACUUGAGGAGCAAAUGCAUGAACGCAACUGCAUAGAAGAGAGAUUGGGACCCCAGUACCAGUAGGAUUACAACCCCAUUUGCGAAUAGAUAGCAAAUUAUGGACACAGCAACGAAGCUUGCAAUUGAAGGAAGAGGCUGUGAAUUUAGCAUCGAGAGAAAUAGUGAAACUAGAAUGGGGGUGAAGCCCAAAAUCAUAAACGGUAGAGGCAUCCUUAAGUUGGAAGCCAUGGCCGUAAGCACUGAAGGUAUAGGCAAAUCUAGAUCCCAUGCAUGCACUUGCUGCAUUAACGCAAAGAAGAUAGCUGCAAAGCAGAAAGCCACCAUCUGCAAAUAAGAAUGUCCAGUUUAUGAAUUUGAGCAUUUCCAACAUUAAUUUACAGGCAUAUGCCGAACCUUAAAUGUAUUCAAAAGAAAAAAAAAAGCAAACACAAAAGAACCAUGAAUAGUUUCAACUUGCAGGUCUCAUCCACAAUGGAAUAUUUUCAAUUUUGAUCUAUGUGAACUUUCAACUCACCUGCGAGCUAUACAGAAGCAAAAAUCUGCCAGCAGCAGCUGUUUGAGAAGCAGCAAAGUUCAAUUUAUAUGAACAAUGAGGAUCAACCUUCAAAGAGAAGCAUAAAUAAGGGCCUUUGCUGAUAAACGGGCUAAAUUCAGACCUUAUCCAGAGAAUGUUGCCACUUACCAGUAACAGUAUAGAAGUUUUUUCUGAUCCUGGAAAGGAACUCAAACUUGCUGGUGAUGAGUCAACCGUAACAGUUUCACUAUACAAACUAGGGAAGAUAUGAAGCCCAGAUGUGGGAUCCCAGGCCACAGCAACAGGUGGAAAACACCGCAAUUUGCAAAGAUCUGGACACAUAAAAGUAAAGCCAGUUUAAGAGGAAACCAAGCAAAAGGAAACAAAAGACAGACUCCAGCACUUCUGUGUGGAGAUGGACGUCAAAAUAAGAUUAGCUUGCGUACUGGUAGUUUCCAUAUCUCCAGACUCUUCGUCAGGAAGCCCAGACUUCUUUAUUCCACAUCCAGUAGUUUCUAGAGAUAGUGAAGUUGGCAAAAGGCCUAGGCUGACAUCAAAGGAUAAAUUAAAAGCUAGGGGAUGAUCCUCUUCCAGCACCAUAUCCUAUAAACAUGCAAAGUCAUCAACCAGAGAAAGUCAGACCUCCAAUGCAAGAAUUAAAUUGGAUACUUGCAUAUUUGAAGUUUCAUGGCUUAGAAAGUGGCUAUACAAUUUUCAGUUCUUCUAUGAUCACUAACCUUUGAAGAAUAGGCAGAUAGAAGCAUCACGGGCACAGAUAACUCUCUUUCUCCCUCCUUCGGAUCAUAGAACUGCCCAACUGCCAUAGAAGCUGGUGGUGGAGGUCGGCCUGAAACAGUCUGAGGAUCAGCAAUCCAUCAAAUGUCAAUCACUAGUGCAGUUAUUUUCACUGUAUAUUAGGUAACUAAAAUUCAGUGCAAUUUAAAAUGAGUACACAAACAAAUUAAAGAUCAACAAAGAGAAUGUAAUUUAAAAUACAUAGAGCCACAUACAAAGCAAAUAGGCGGAUGCAGACUUGGAUAAUAGCAAACAUACAAAGCAAAUAAGCGUAUGCAGACUUGGAUAAUAGCAAACAUACAAAGUAAAUAGGCGGAUGCAGACUUCCCAAUACGCUACACACAAGUUCAGAAGAAAUCAACAAGAAAAAAGGAAAUCGUACCGGACGAGGAGCAAUUGAAAUCGUCAGGAAUCUGAAGCCUCGCAUAUCUUCGGGAGUUAGACAAAGUAAAGCAGAAGGAGGUGCUUGUUCGGUCUGUCUUCCAGGCUCAGCCUGAUACAGAUACCGCAAAUUUAGUAUGUUUAUUCAUGCAGCUUCAGACACAUCAUUACCAUUAUUGGGAGAGCCUUCAUGCUUUUCAAGCCAAGAUCACAUAGUUGAGAAAUUUAUACAAACAAGGGCAACAGGAAGAACCAGAAAACUAGCAAUAAGCUAUAAGACAUUCAUUAUUCAAAUCAAGAUGAAUAAAGACCUGUACUGGAGCUGGUCCUGAUGGAAUCUGCACCAGCUUUGAUGUAACCUCAACUAUUUUGUCUGAAUUUGACUUUCCCUUUUCAGACCACAGGUGAAGUCUCACCCCAGAACACGGAGCAAGAUUAGUCACAAACACAAAAUGACUCUUCCUGUUUGAGCCCUGCAUGAAGUCGCAGGCAACUUCAUUGUUCAGAAGGUUCAUACAUCAAAAAGUGGAACUUGACUAAAGUUUUAGUUAAGCCUCGACAUAAACACUACAACCACAGCAACCUAAGUAAAGUUAUAAUAGCCUCGACAUAAACACUACAACCGCAGCAACUUAAGUAAAGUUAUAAUAGCCUGGACAUAAACGCUACAGCGCAGUGUAUUCAUAGAUAAACAAUCAGUUUUAAGCAGCUAAAGCUAAGCACUAAGUUCCCGUAAUUCCUAUAAAUUAAGGUGAAAAUUAUAUGAUAGCGCCAAUUAGUCAAAUCUCGCCUCAGGAACGAGAGUUACAAGGAAUGUUCUAUAUUUCAUAAAUAGAUAACUAGACAUUUUUUUGUGAGAAAUAACAACUAUCCAGCAACAAAUUUCUUAAGAUGACUCAAGAUAGUUUCACAAAGCUAACCAAUUUAUGUAUGUCCAACCAUCGUCUUCUCCCGUCCAUGGCCAAGACAGUCAUAGUACUAGUUUGGAUAUAUAGAUCCUUCUCCAGACCAUCAUCAUUCCAGACAAGAUUGCUGGGGCAACCAGGUAAAGUAGCCACUUGAGAAACUGCACACAGGAUAACCAAGGUAUCAUUGUUCAAAUUAAACUUUCAGUUUUUUUAACAGAAAUAUGCACAUGCUAAUAGAAGGAAUUCCAACUUAAGAUUCCAGAAAAGUUUAGUUCCUUGGAGGAACUUCAGAAAAAACCAGACAGUUUUGAUCCCUUUGUUUGGUCUCUUUCAAAUUUCUUAAUGCAUUUUGAAUUUUCACACUCUAGACUAUCGCAAUCAUAGACAAAAGUAACUUAUAAGCUUCAAACUAAGCAGUUGAUUAAGUGGGUAGAAAAAUACCAGCUUCAGCACUUAGAUUUUUGCUUGGAUCAUGAAGAUGUGGCUGACUUGUCCAAUGGAGAGCAUCAGGUAUCCCACUACGAAGCAUCCUUGCUAAUAUGGAAAGCCUUUUCCGAGUAUCGGGAAAUGGAAGACCUGUUCUUGCAUCUAUCAAACUGAGGAGUGUGUGUGAUACCUAAUACAACAUGUACCAUCAGCGUUGUGGAGGGUCUAAACUCUGAAUUCAAGAAGCGUCACUCACUUGUACAACUAAUUGGUUGCACCAUAGAAUAGCCUGAUGCUCCAUGGAUAGCCACACAUUUCUCAUGCCGGUACUGCUAAUCAUAAAUCCAUGAGUCGGAGGCACAAUUCCAUCCAGGGUCUCUAACUUCGUUCGUACCUGACACAGAAGCAGAAAGAUCAAUGCCUACAGGAAAUCUCCCAGACAAGGAAAAAGAAAUGCCCUUUGGACUUGUAAGAAGAAAGAAACUAGAGGGAGAAUGAAAAAAAAAUAUCAUGCAAUAGUUAUGGCUAAAAAAUCUCAACAAGAAGAAUAUGAAUUACUCCCACUAUAAUAUCCAAAACAUGUCAGAUAAGAGACAUUUCUCGCCGAAGUAGCACCACGGAGAGCAUUCUCAUUCAUAAAUAUAUAAUAUGAUAGACUAAUUAUAAUCUCCACAGUCCCGUCAAAAAAUAAUUAUCAACUCCACACUGGGAGGUGAAAAGAAUAAUAAGCCAUUACCAACCAGCCAUAAACUAAUUAUAAGUCCUUGCCUCACACAGAAAACCAUGAUAAUAUCACUCAACUACCACAUAUGAAAAGUUAAUCAUGGAACUGACCUUCUGCUCAAAUACAGAAGUCCAAAUGUGAUAGCAAUUUCAGAUGCUAAUUGCGAAAUAAGAUUGAGUGGAACUGCUAGUAUAUAACUCAGAAGCGAACCUGAUAAUCGUUAUAAGCACCAGAGAUUGAAACAACAAUGACAUGGGAGAGCAAUGGAUCAGACACAAAUGGUGCAGUUUGAGUGGUUUGGACCUCAUAUCCUUUCCUCCAUUCAUUGUUCACACGAGUAAAGUAGUUGCCCAAUGAUGGCUGCAAAGCCACUGGAGGUAACCUGGAUCAGGUGGUUUGUUCACUGUAAGUUAAUAACCUUUGGCACGCAUACAGCCAAAGCUAUUGCAUGAGCCAUAAAACUCACUGAUGUGGGGUUGAAAGUGUAAGAAUAGUCUCAACAGCAGACUUCCUCAGCCGGGGAUGGAUUACAGCAGCUCUAGCAACAAAACCACCCAUGGAAUGACCAACUAAUAUCACACUCUUUGGCACAGUACCAGAAGUGGCAGCACCUUCUUUUUCUCGCACAUCAUGAGAAUGCUUAUACUGAUCCAAAAUCUGAAAAUAUGAAAUUAUAGUACGUUCAAAACCAAUAUUUCUUUGCUAAAUAGCAUGCAUGUCUCAGUGAGAUACCUGUUGGGAUAAGUUCGAACGAAAAAGGAGAACAUAAAUGUUAACGACAAACAUACAACUUAGCUUAUCAGCAAAAAAACUAUGGAGAACACAUGCCCCCGAAGGUUUUAUGUAAAAUUUUGGCAGCAUGGAAUAAAACCCGCAACUAUUUUCAAGACAAGAUUCACAGAAGAAACACCUACUUCACCUCAAAAUCAUAAUUUGCGGAUUCCCUCAAUAAAGUCACUCGGCAAAAAAAAUCCAAUUUUCAGAUUCGUGUGCAUACACCUCAAUAAUAUUAAACAAUCAUGACAAAAGCUGCAAUACCUUGUGAAUGGCAUACACAACAUAUUCAGUGUGUUCUUCAAGUAUCUGGCCAUCCAUGGCAGAAUGUUCACCUUCAAGAUCCACUGCAAACCAAUCUAUCUUACUACUGUACUGGCCGGGCAAUUGAAAGUCAGCCGAAUGCAUGUCCAUGCCUCCCUCCUCGGGAGUUAAACUUGCCUCAUGAAGAAAUGUCCUUUCUAGCGGACCUCCUUGGUAUGCCCUCUCACAUUCAGCAGCCAAAGACCUUACCUACAUGAAAUAAUCAGCCACAUUGUAAACAGUGAGAAAGGUAAAUCUCGUUCAAUAAAGAACUUGAACUCAAUGGAGAGAACCUCCAAAGUCAACUGAAAUAACAUAAAAUAAAAAAUCUGAAGGAUCGCAUUAAUAUAAUUGCAUCAGAAUCCAACACCAAGCUUACUCAGCUAACACUCAGCUAAUACAAGCCUUACUCUCUCCAAAAAACUGAAAUGCUGCAAACUAUCUUGACAGCAAACUGAGUUAUUCGUACAAAAAUUUCGGCUUUCUUAAGUUGGUAAACUUUCAAAUUCGAGGGCUACUCAUCCGAACUACAAUGUCCAAAACGAAUCCGCAAAUUGUAUCAGCUUCGUAACCACAGAUCAAUGUAGAUUCUAACGAGAUCACUGCAAGUGAGACAGGGAGAGGAUAAGAAGAGAAAGGAAAGCAUUGCCUGUUUGAAGCUGCCACCAUUUCCAGGGAUAAAAAGAACAGGAACGCCACUAAGCUGCUUGAGAUGCUCCUCGAAAUCGAUCUUCUUCCAACCUUCAUGGUAAAGGUGCAACCCAUACUUACCACCGGAAGUAGCAGCAGCAUCACCAUUCACGGUGGUCGAAAUCGGAAUGUAAGUUGGAUACAUGUAAGUCAUAGCACAUCCAUUGGAGAUUGGCUUCAACAGCCCGUACAAACCAAGAAGAGAAAUCGACAGAGCUAACACAACUGGAACCGCCACCCUAAGUUUGGCCUUGAAUCCUUGCAUGUUUGCUUUCGGAUCAAAGCUCCAGAUGAAUUUUUCGAACCUAAACGAUUUCGAAAUGACCCACUAGCUUUAAGAUCUGAAUCUAGCUACCGGAGAGCCGACAAUCAGCGAGGCCAGGUAUGAUGCCAAUUUUGAUGGCGUACUAGAAGAGUAACUAAAGAGUUGUAGAGACUGUGGACUGGGUGCAAAUUCCCGGAGCGACACCGGCGAGUUGCUAUGGAAGUGCCGGCGAUGAAGACUAGAGAGAGAUCGGGAUGAGUACAGUGUGAGCUUGAGAAAAACUUGGUUCAGUGAAGACGAAGAAGCUUGGGAAAAUGGCGCCCACAGUGUUUGGGCUCCAACUAUAAUUGGGCCGAUAGUUUAUGUUUGUAGCCCAUGUUUAUCGUCGCCGCCUAGGGUUUAAAAAGAGGCAGUGGGAGCCGCCGGCGGUUGCUCAGUCUUCACCUUCAUCAUCGCCGGCUACUCGAAAUCAAAUAGGAGAUAUGGCGGAGGCGGCGAUUCUCAGCUACUUGGCGACGCACGAAGAAAUCGCCGAUUCUGGCCAGUUCGCUGCAGAGAGUGGGAUCGACCAUUCUGAGAUGGUCAACGUGAUCAAGAGUCUUCACGGUUUUCUCUAUGUUGUUGCUAAUGUACGUUACAUUUCUCUGGUCGAAUUUUACAGUGACAAGAAAUUAAUCCAUCUAGUCUGUUGGUGUGCUUCUUUGAAGAGAAUUGGAGGGUGUAGGAAUUGAACUGAAUUUUAAUAUUUUGCCCUCUUGGGGAAAUGAAGUAGUCACAUCUUCAAAUGAGUGUAGACCAGGAAGUAAUUCAUCAAAUGGCUACAUGUUUCCAGUAUUCCUGUACUCAAUAGUUAAUCUUAAUGUGGUAAAGAUGAGAUUUUCCCUGGUAUUUUCCUUCAAUUGAUAUAGUUCAGUUCGAUUGCAUCAAAGUUUGGAGGUUCUUUGAGACACUGCUGAAUUAGUUUUCAUAUCGAUGCUUCAGGACAUAAAAAAGGAGACCUGGGUUCUUACUGAUGAAGGUAAGAAGUAUGCUGCGGAAGGCGCGCCUGAAGUUCAACUGUUCUUGGCUGUACCCUCAGAAGGUAGCAUCUCAAAAGAUGAACUGCAGGUUAUUAAUCGUUUCUCUGGUCUUUUUCCUUUCACCUUUUGUCAUAGUGCACUAAGUGAAUUAACAGCUUUGAUGAACCUGGAUUUUUUGUAUGCAAUAUAAAUAAAAUUGGUGACCUUUAUUUUUUUAGCAUGGGAGUUCAAAUUGUUGAUCGGUUGUCCACUUGUUCCUUAUAUUAGUAUUCAGAGUAGGUUUCUUAUUUCAAGCAAUUCGCAAGCUUACUGACAUUUUGUUGUAACAACUCGCCAGAAAAAGCUUGACCCUGCAGUUUUCAAAAUUGGGUGCAACCAGGCUGGGAAGAACAAAUGGGUGGAAAUGGGAAAGCACGUUUCUAGAAAGGUAUCUAUUAUCUAAAAUUUUCUCAGCCACUCUUUUUUUUCAAAACCAAGAAACGAAUGAAUUACAUGCUGAAAGAUAUGUUCCAUGGUUUAUUCAUUUUAUAAUAAUGGGAAAAGGCGGCAGAGGAAGAACUGUUCAGAAUGGAAUCACCUACUCAAAAGCUGACAGUGGAUUACCUGAAUAACCUAAGCAAGAGUUACUUGAAAUUUAGUUGGUUGUUCCAUAUUUUCCCAAUUCCGUUGUCUGUUUCACUUCGAGUCAGGUAGCACAAGUGGAAGACAAGGUGAAAGAUCAUCUUUUAAAGAUACAAGAGGGACAGGUUUGCAGUUCUCUUUCAUCUCAAUACCCAUCUUAUCGAUAAUGAUAUAUUGGUUUCAAUUUAUGUGACGUUUUCUGUAUCCCUUAGAAAGGAGAAACUUGCUCAUGAUUGGUUGAUAUUAGCGAGUAGAUUAUAGAAGUAUUGUGUUUCUUGUCCUAUUACUUGGCCAAUGCGUUCUACAAUACUCUUUAUGGGUCACAUUUAUACCCUGCCCUUUUUUCUGAAAAAACUGGGUACAAUAAUUAGAGUGCUUCUGCAACCAUAGGGCUGCGGAUCGAUGUUGCUGUUGCAUCGGAGUAAAAUUAGUUAAAUGAAAAUGCUUAUGUAUUAGGUUAAGAAUUAAUAGCAUUGUUGGGAACUGGGGUCAUCCAAUAUCUCCAUUUUGAACCUUGUUAGAUCCAAAGUCAUGGCUUUGUUGAACCUCAUCUGGUUUUAGUUUCCUCAUUAAAAUUAGAGACCUCGCUUUGGUUUUCAUUGUCUACCUGGUCCUGUGUAUGCUGAUCUAUAAUUGAUUUUAUAACUCUGGAUUUUCAGGUCAUUGGCAAAGAUGAUAUCAACCCUCUGAAAGCAAGGAAGCUAAUUGUUUUACAGUAUCGCUCUCAUCCUGUAUUCUAGUUGAACUGUCUUAUUUUUGGGGUUCCUUAUGUGGUGCUGUAAAGCUCAAGUUUCGUUUAAUUAGUGGUGCUUACUACAAAAAAUGCUCUUGUUAUAGAACAUGGAAGGGCUACUCUGUCACUAAGGGUCCUAGUUAUGCUCCUCAAAGAAAGAAAGCUGCAACUGAUUUGACCCGAGAAAAUCUGCAGAGGUAUUCACUUCUCUAUCUUUGGAUAGACGUGGCAGUGACUUGGCUGCCAUUUGCAACUGAUUUAGGAAACUAAAGUUUCAUAGAUGUGUGAAUUACACAGGUGUCAUUUAGCUUUUCAUGACUUCUUUCUGCGUACAUGUUGAAAUUGUUUUUCUUCCUCCUACCGCCUAAUGUAGAGAAUUAUUCAUCUGUCAUCUUAAAAGCGUGUUCUUACACGAAGAUCUUAUCAUUUGUGCCUGUAAAGAAAUAACCAUAUUUUGACUGUAGUGUCUAUGCAUGAUACUGUUUAUGGCUUUUAUUUUUCUCAUUUCCUUGGCUCAUCUCACUUGGAUCAGAAAGCUGAUUAAAAUUGUGAUUCUUUCCUAUCAGAAAAGACAGAUAGCAUCUGAUAUGAUUGAUUUCAUCUUCUUGCGCUUGAGUAGUUAAAUCAAUCACAAAGAAACAUUAGCUAGUCAUAUAUAUUUUUCUUGUUAUAUCCCGGUAGCUAGUAAUUCUUGUUCCUCUAAUAUCCAUAGCUUGUUGCUUAUGCGUCACAGCAACUUUAGGUUAUUCAUUGCAAUUUUAUUCAGCUGUUUAUUUAUUCUGGUUUAAUGAGAAAAUCAAAAUAUUUUAGGGGAGACUGGAAGGACUUGGAGUUCAAAGAGUACAACUUCAGUGCUAAAGGUCCGCCUUCUGAUGGUGGCCAUCUUCACCCACUUAUGAAGGUAAGAAUAGUUUGUUUCCAACAAUUUUCUUAGUUUUUUCUUUGUUGUAUUCUCAAUCUUGUCAGAUGCCUGCUUUUCCAUGAUCUCUGUAGUAUAUCUGACUAAGGACUUUUAAAUACACUCAACCGUCUAUCUGUCUGAACCCCGAUAAACCUAUACACACUUUUAUUCUGAAGGUUUUUUCCUCUAUCUCUAGGUCAAAGAACAAAUAAAGGGUAUUUUCCAAAUGAUGAAGUGAGUAUUGUCCUUCUCGUGCUGUUGCUUGUCAAUCUUGCCUUGUUCAUCUCUCACUUCUACUGUCCUUCUCCUGUAUGCAGCUUCGAGGAAAUGCCAACAAAUAGAUUCGUUGAGAGCAGGUUCCUGCCCUUUCCAUCCCUUCUCGUUAACUCUACACGUCACCAUCUGUUAAUUAUUUUCUAUUAUUGGGUUUGAAUUUCACUUGAUCAAGUCUGCUGCCUAUCUUGAGAGAGUGGAAGAACUUAUAGCUAAGAUCUUAUUUACUAGUAUUAACUGUGAGUCAAAUCAAUUAAGGAACGAAUUCUUAGAUUGUUCAGCUCAUGAAGUUCUUUUAAUUGUCGUGGUGCUAUUUUCCUUCAGUCUACACGUUUUUUUGCAGCUUCUGGAACUUCGAUGCCCUCUUCCAGCCACAGCAACAUCCUGCCCGUGAUUCUCAUGAUACAUUCUUCCUGAAAGGUCCGUGGCUGUCUACUGUUGAUUUUGCGUCAUCUCUUCUCUUUUGACAGUCUGAUAUAUUCUUCUAUAGUUCCUGCGACAACAAGAGAGCUUCCUGAAGAUUAUGUUCAGCGAGUGAAGGAUGUCCAUGAGUCUGGUGGAUAUGGCUCACGAGGGUAUGAAUCUGAUUUGGUUGCUUUUCCUAGUGUAAAAUCAAAUGUAACCUUAAGACGCUUCUUCUUAUCUGCGGGCCAGAUAUACAUAUGAGUGGAAAAGAGAAGAAGCUAACAAGAACCUUUUGCGCACUCAUACCACGGCAAUCUCUUCCAGAAUGCUUUAUCAAUUAGCACAGGUUCAUUCAUCUGGCUCCCUUUUGUGAGGUUUUACAUUGCAUAGUUAUCAUAUUGUUUAUUUACUUGUUUUAUGUUCUAUUCAUAUUUCCAGGAAGCUAAACAGAAAACCUUUACCCCUAAAAAGUUGUUCUCGAUAGACCGUGUUUUCAGAAAUGAAGCAGUAGACCGUACACAUCUUGCCGAGUUCCACCAGAUAGAAGGUACGUCGUCGCAAUUUGUAAUACGAAAGAGGUUAUUUUUCACAUAAUUCUGUCCUACUCAAUUUGUAAUAAUUGGUCCUAUAUUUAUGUCCUUCCAUGGUUCCAGAUUACAACAUCCAAACAAAGUAUUUCAAUGCCUUUUCUCUCACUUAAACAAGUCUUCGUAUGAUGGGGGUGGUUCUUUUAGUUAGAAAGUGACUUGUAUGAUGGAUGUUGACUUUCUAGUUUAUUAUAACUGUCCAAUUUAUCUUAUCAUGUCUCCUCUUUUUAUUUUUUUCAGGUCUAGUGUGCGAUCGAGGGCUUACACUAAGCCAUUUGAUAGGAGUAUUGGAAGACUUCUUUGCACGUCUAGGUAAUAAUGAUUGGACUUGCUCAACCUUUUUCAGACACUCCCAGGACAAAAUAACUGGUUAUUAUACCAUUGAUUAGGAGUAGGGGUGACGUGCAUCUUGCUGAUGUGUAGCUUGAGAUGAUAUUAUUUAUAGCAUGCAAGUUGAUUAGCUAUGAAGACAUUGUUUGAGCAAAUGGUGUAUGAUGCAAUGCACAAUUGUUGGCUUCUUAUCGUAUUCUUGUUUUGGUCCAGGAAUGUCAAAACUACGCUUCAAGCCAGCUUACAACCCAUAUACUGAGCCAAGCAUGGAGAUAUUCAGGUAAAUAGAUACUGCAGCGAUCUCUUACUUUUCAUACCAGGUGAUAGAUAAGAAUUGUUCUAACAAUGAAUUGGACAUUGAGCAGUUAUCAUGAAGGAUUCAAGAAGUGGGUGGAGAUUGGAAAUUCAGGAAUGUUCAGGCCGGAAAUGCUUCGUCCGAUGGGAUUCCCAGAAGAUAUUAACGUCAUUGCAUGGGGGCUUUCACUUGAAAGGUAAAUGCAGUGGCUUUCUCAAUCUUGAAAUUAACAUUGAUCUGGUGAUCUGAUCUAAUAUCUGUUUUGGAUUUUGUUGGGGGGGAACAGGCCAACGAUGAUAUUGUAUGGUUACGAUAACAUCAGAGAUCUGUUCGGGCACAAGGUGGAUCUUGGUCUCAUGAAGAAGAAUCCUUUGUGUCUCAUUGGAAUUAAAUAGAGAGAUUUAUCAAACUCUGCCUCAUUUGUCUAUUUGUUGUUCCUUCUAUUAUAUUAUACAUUUGUCUCAUAACUUCUGAAUGAACGGGUUGGAAUAUUUUGGUUCAGUUUAAUAGUUGUAACGGAAACAAACUUGUGGAUAUUUCUGUUCCGGUAAAAGAUUGACUCCGCGGGUCAGGUUGUAGAUGGUCAGGCUGGUGUUUUCAACUGGUAUUCUGCUCUUGUUGUCGAAUGUCGAACAAUCCUGGAAGCUUACCUGAUUUUCUGUUUGUGAUCAAUGACCGACCAGCAUUCUAUCCGAUUCCAAAGUCGCGAUCUCAGCUGUCUCGAACCCGCCUGUUUCUUGGCUUUGGGUCUGCUAAGUACGUACACCCAUAUUUCCCUGAAGUUCUCUCCUCGGUCCGUUAUUCGUAAUGCUGAUUGGUUAGCUAGGGGAAGCUAGGAAUGGCUCUCUAACCCCGGGUUGUCUCAACUUGCUUUUGGGAGUCAGGUAGCCGUUUACAGGUCUCGUAAAAAAACAGUAAGGAAAUGAAAGAAAGACAAUAACAGUGCUUAUAUGUUAGUAGUGUUGGUCUCGAACCGGAACCUCCAGAUGGACUGCACUAAUCAAAGGGGGUUACCAUAUCUUAUCCGUCCAAAAUCAGUCGAUUUGCGAGUACCCUGAUACCGGCUUAAGAAAAGUAUGGUGAACUUGGAUAUUGUCUGUCAAACUUGGUGCAACUUCAGGCAGGUUUUCAGUUGCGAACCCAGCAGCCAAUUGUUACAACUUAACCAAGAGACGAGAUAUCAAGUGAAAUGAAAAAUGACGGGGGAGGGGGGGCGAAAAGUUUGAACACAAUUAAUUAAUAAGUGAAGACUACACCCUCAGUGAUGUUUUCCGCUCAUCCAACCCAGCUGCUUAGUCUGUUGUAUAAUCCUCAAUAAGAUAAACAAAACUCACUAAGGUGUAGAAAACAUACAACAACACCACCUAACUUACGACAGUAACUUCCAAUGCUAAAACAGAAAUUGUUACUUAAAACUGGGAUUAAAUUUCUUCAACCCGGAGAAAGGCCAUCGUCCAUCAACUCCAGCAUCCAUCAUCUUGAAUACGGAUGAUACCUACCAGCACCGGCAGGAGGACCGCCACCAUAUCCACCACUCCCACCGUAUCCACCUCUACUUCCAUAACCUCCACCGGGACCACCAGCACCGCCUCCAUAGCCACCAGCACCGCCACCACCAUAGCCACCACCAAGGCCAGUUUCGUAGCUGCUUCCGUAGCCACCACCGGGGGCACCACCAUAUCCGCCACCAUAGCUGUCAGCAGGGCCACCAUAACCUCCACCCAUGUCAUACCCUCUGCUAUAACCUCCGCCGCCUCCUCCUCCAUAGCGUCCUGAAUACCCAACAGAUAGCUCUCCUCUAUAAGGCCCUAUACCACUUCCACCUGCACCACCACCGUAUCCUCCAUAUCCUCCUCCUCCGCCUCCAUAUUCACCAGCGCCAUAUCCACCAUACGAACUCAUUCUACUGCUUCCAUAAGCACCACCUGAUCUGUAUAAGCUGCCGCCACCACCGCCGCCAUAGGUAUACCCUCCUGGCCCGUCGUAAAUAUCAUUGAAUCCACCACGAGACGGUGGCCUUGAAUCAUUGUAACGUUUGAAUGAAGGUGUUGGCGGAUUAGGCUUCUUUGGUUCUGCCUUCUUGAUCUCAACCUGCGGAAUAAUAAAACAAACAAUAGGGUUACUUGAUUGCAAAGCACCGCCUAUACAUAUCAUCCAACUUCACGUUCCAAGGAGGACUCAAAGGCCCAUCUUCAUUUAUCACCAUAACAGAAAGCAAUUUGAUAGACGUGCAUCUUUGUAGUGCAUAAUUCAUAAGGGUACUCAUAUCACACGUGUGGCAGUGGGGGAAGUUAUUUGAGUCAGAUGGUCUAAAGUUGUAUACCCCUCAUUUCAGUACAAAAGCAACACUAGUAUGCAAAUCAUGAUAAAAGAUAAGACCGCAGCAAUAACAAACAUCAACUUCAAAGAACCACAAAAUAAAUUGAAGAGAAGUCAUUACAGCUGCAAUCUACCUUCUGGAUUACAACAAACGAGAAUAACAUUAUUGAUGUUUUCCACAGAAAAUAGCAGUAGCUUAUAAUCAUUACUAUUCAACAAUCUGUAGAAGAUAAGAGGACUCUUUUCAAGAUUCAAACGUAGAUUUAUGAAACUACAGACAACAAAUGUUAUUAUAUCACCCACAUGAUUGAUCAGUUCUUCAACUAUGCGUCUAAUAUAUAUUCCAAGAACAGUUAUAAAAGAAAAACUGGUACAAACGAGAUAUAAGCUCACCUGAGUUCCAGCAAAUUCAAUUCGAUUUCCCUUUGUAAGUAGGUCAUCAACUGCAUCUUCUUCUUCAAAGGUAACAAACCCAAAGCCACGAGAGCGAUUAGUUGAAUGGUCCCUCAAGAUCUGGUGCUCCAUAACACUUCCAAAUUGUGCAAAGAAUUCUUUCAGCUCAUCUGCCCAUUGCAGUAGAAGGAUUGUUAGUUAAUCUUAUAACUAAUCAAUUAAAGCAACUAGCUAAAAGGCUUCAUUUCUAGCCACAAGAUUUUUAACGAGUACAACUAGCUCAAACCCAUUUGGUGCUAACUUAGCUAAACAUUUCAUUACCAUCCUUAACUGAUGAAGGAAUUCCAACAGCAGCAAGAUUCUAACUCUAUAUUACCACUAGGUGAUAACCCAUUGGUUCUAGAUAACUAAAAUAAAUAAAUUACCAUCAGUGACUGCUGAAGGAAUUCCACCAACAAAAAUUUUCUUUGUCCUGAAAUCCUUAGACCCAGCGGCUCCCCUAGGUAUAGUUCGCUUAAUUUCCACCUAAAGAUCCGAAAAGGCAAAGGAGGAUCAGCACGAAGAAGCAAAAAAUGAAGGAGCUAUGCUUAACUUAUAUGAAGAAGACUAAACAACAUAAUCUAACAUUACACCAAUAACUCAGCCCUACUUGUUUAUCCUUAAUAAUAUGUGUGUCCUGAAUGACUUGAUCAACAACAGAAGGGUCUGCAUAGGUGAUGAACCCAAAUCCACGUGGUUGACCGGUUUUUCGGUCCUUCAUAAUGACAGAAUCCGUAAUUUCACCAUAUUUACCAAAAUGCUCGAUAAACUCAGCUACAUUGACAUGGAAAAAAUCAGAGAAAGGGGGUUUAAGAGAACUAAUCAGAAAUAGGCUAAACACCACUAAAAAGGUGUGGACUUAAUAAUACUAAUUCACCGAAGCAGAUGAAACUAACUAACCAGUCGUAGUAUCUCUUGAUAAACCACCAAUGAAAAUCUUUCUGCAACCAAUACGGAAAAAAAACCAUCUGAGUCAUAACUACGAACCCUAAAUCUCAAGUAUCGUCUUAAAGAUACCCGUCUAAAAGAUACCUCGAAAAAGGCAAAAUCCAUCGACAACUCUUCUUCUACCGCAUUCAGGGAAACGAAUCAACUCCGAAAAUUAAAAUAAAAUCGGAAGGGACAGAGAGAUACCCGGGACUGGCUCCAUCUCCAGUGUGAGAAAGAGACCUGUCGUCAUCGUUGUUGUGGUGGUUGUUGGAUUGACGGCCGCCGUCAGCUUCUCCGCCUGGGAGCUCCUCGUUGUUGACGUGAGGGUCCAUGACAGAGCGGCAACAGGAAAUUGGAGCUUAGAAGGAGGUGGCGACAGAAGGAGUCCGGUGACGGCGACGGAUGUAAAUAGGUGAUAGGGGUAUGGCGAGCCUAUGGAGAAGAGAGAGAGAGUGCAAACCCUAGGCGGAGGGAGGAAAUAACAGCAAGCAGCGGUCGAGGACUCGCAGAUACUAAAGAGCUUCGAGCUUUCUGGGUGUUAGCUUCGUAUUUAAUAAAAUGGACCGAACCAAAACAAGUUUCACUAAUUUAUACGUUUUAUAUUAAUUAAUUGGCUCUUCGAUGAAAACUAAUUUCUUUAUAAUCAGCAAAGAUUUGGUUUAAUUAAAAAAUAAUUAAUUUUGUGUAUUUUCAAAUUAUAAUUUCUCUACAUUAUUAUUAUAUUAUUUCAUAUUAUCUUUGUCUUUAUGGAUUUAUAACUCCAUUUUUAAGAAAGGAUGCUAAUCUAGUCUUUUAAGUGAAUAAGAAAUUUUAUAUUUUUACUCAAAAUCCAACCAAAUGAGUAUUGUUUUAAAUGCCUAACGAUUUACCAAAUAAUUAUAUUUUGUACCAACGUAUCCGAAUAAACCAAUUAAGAUUUUUAUGUGUUCAAUGUGAUACAUAUCUGCAACUUUGAUGAUUAAAUUGGCAUUUCACCUCUUUGUUCGGGCACGUGGUCGUCCAUCGAGAGUCUCGCACUCGUCGCACUUCUCAGUUCUCACACCGGCGUCAUAUACCUUGAGCUCCCACUUGGAAUCUAGUCGUCCAUGGCUGCAGAGAUCGGAGCCUAAGCUUUUCGUCGAUUUGAGAAGUUCAAAUAAAAUUUACGGUAAUGACAGACACGGAGAAGGAGGUUGCAGCUGCGACUCCUGAAUGGAAGCCGAAGCCGAGACCGAUUGUGCGCCUUGGGAUCUUCCUUAUCUCGCACAGCCUCCUUUUCAGGUACUACUCUCCGUUAAGUUCUUCCAUUGCUCGGUGGAUCGUAUUUGCUGCUCUGUUGAACCGAAUUUGAAUGUUUGAAUUAUUAAAUUUUGUUCGUUCUUGUUGGUUGAGGGAUUUCAAGUGUUGUUUGCUGUACGGCUGGAGUUCUAGCGCUCUUUCUGCUUCCUAUGCUUGCCAAGACCACUUACAUUUCCGAAAAUGCGCUCAUGCCAGGUCUGGUCCAAAACUUAAUUCUCUUAGUUUAACUUGGAACUUUGGUUGGUAGUAACAUUCUGUUUCAAUUGUGUAACAAUUGGUUGUAAAUUUCUCUUCCUGGUGAUUAUGAAGGUUCGGCGAGUAGCAUGCUGUCUAAUCAUGAUAUUUCGGAAGCGAAUCAAUUGGCUAUGGAUUUAACUGGUUUAGAUUCAGCUGCUGCGGAUGCAGGCAUGUAUGUGAGAGACUUACUUUCAUGUUAUUGUUCAUCAGUUUGAACCAUUACAGAGAAGGGAAGUUUAUAGUUUUCAUUUUGACUUUAACAUUUUUCUGCAGAGGAAGUAGAAGGGUACUUUCAAAAUACUUAUCAGACUUGGGAGUUGAAGUCGGUUAUCAUAAGUUCCAAUCUCAUCAGAAUCAGUUACAUCCUCUGCACUUCUUCUCCAGCCCUGAUUCUGGGCUAUUGCAAGAGAAUGGAAGCUGUUCUUCAUAUGGCAUGAAUGUCGUUGGAAUAGUAAGGGCACCACAAGGCGAUGGUAAAGAGGCUAUUGUGUUGGUGACUCCAUACAAUUUCGGAAAGAGCGAUUCAACUGAAGCUUUAUCUGUUAGCAUUGGAUAUGCAGUAUUUUCAUUGCUCAGUCGAGUUACGUGGCUGGCCAAAGAUAUUAUUUGGCUCGUUGCAGAUUCGCAGUAUGGAGAACAUGCCCCUGUUGCUUCUUGGCUUAAGGACUAUCACAUACCCACGUUUUCUAGUUUAGCUGCUCAGAAUGCUGGUUCAUGUUCUAACGCAAGUAUUCUUAAUGUAGUAAAUGAAGAAUCUCUUGGUCUAACAGGGAUAUCUGCUGGGUUUAGACGUGCUGGGACUAUGGCCGCUGCUCUGGUCAUAAAAGUCACUGAGGGAAAAGAUCAGUUUGAAGACACUCUCGGUGUCUAUGCUGAGGCUUCCAAUGGGCAGAUGCCAAAUCUAGAUCUUAUCAAUAUUGUGAAUUAUUUAGCUGUACACAGACAAGGGUUGCGUGUGAAAGUUCAGAAAUUCCUGUCUCUUCUUGAAUGGAAAUUGCUUAGGGUGUUGGGAAAUACUUUUAACGUCAUUGGAAAUGUUGCUGGAAGCUUAAAUCCAGAAUGGAAAUUUGGUAUUCCUACGACAGAUUACAUUGAGGGCGCAGCAACGCUUGCAAGUUCCUUAUAUCACCAGGUUAUUUUUAUUCAUUGUACCAUUCAUUUUUAAAGGCAUCACUUAGUAUGACAUUAAACUUGAAUUACUUUGUCCUACAACAAUUAUGAGAAGCCAACCAAAUAACCAUCGAAGAGGGCUUCUUUUUGUAAAUUUCUUGAAGAUAUGUGUGUUCACUUUUUUUAUUUCUUCUAUCCUUCUAGGCACUCGGUAUUCCAACAGGUCCACAUGGAGCUUUCCGUGAUUUUCAGGUUGAUGCCAUUACUUUGGAGAUUUCACCCAAAGUAGUCUAUACAAAUAAGGGCAGACGUAAUGAAUUUAUUCUGCGAGGUGCAAGGUAUGCUCUUCCGUUACGGCUAUUGUAACUUAUAUCAAACACAGAACUGCUAUCUUCCUACUGGAAUUCUUGCUUCUUUUGUCAGAUGACAUACAGAAGUCAUUGCUAUUACCAUGAUGUAAAUUUGCAUAAGAUGGUAACAUGGAUCUUUUAUCUGUCCCUAUGAUCAUAUUUUCUCUAGAACAAGUUCUAUGGGGGCAAUGCCAGAAAUCAUUCCUCCAAUCCUCAUUGCUCUGGGGUAGUAGAUCAUGAUUUAGAGCUGUUCCAACUCCCCUAUUACAAACUUCAGUUCUAACUUCAUGUUUUGUCACUAUCGCUGAAGUUUCCUAUCAUUUUCUUUGUUGCAACAGGUUGAUUGAAGGGGUUGUGCGUUCAGUUAACAAUCUUCUUGAGAAGUUCCAUCAAUCAUUUUUCCUGUACCUCUUAACUGCGCCGGCUAAAUUUAUCUCGGUUGGAGUGUACAUGAUUGCUUUUGCUCUCCUCGUGGCACCACUUCCCCUAGUUGCCGCUUCCCUGUAUGUUGACGCCAAUAAGCUGGAACCUAGUCCCCAAGACUCCAAAGACAACCAAACUGGUUCUUCUCCCGACAAGCUCUCGAUCAACUUCAGACCAUGGAAAUGGCUCAAAGCAGCCAAAGAAGUAUUCGCUGUCCACGCAUGGGGUGUCGCUGUUGCACUGCUCCCUUAUUUCAUCUGCAAAAUACCCGAUUGCAGUCCAGCAGCCAGCUCUAUCAUCUGGUUCUCAACCUCAACAGUUGGACUCCUAAUCUUAUAUCUCAUCAUGGGUUCUCCUCCGAAACCCGAAUGGGAAAUCUUGAAAUCGGUGACAAUCUCGGCUGCUUUCAUUGGUUUGCUUCUCAUGUCUGUUGUCAAUUUCGCAACGGCACAAAUCGGGGCGUUGCUGCUGGUUCCAGCUUGUUUGCUGGCCCGGCCUUUGAUGCCGGACAUGAGAAACGCAAGUUUAAGGAGUUUCCUGAGGAUCGCCUGCAAUGUGGUGUUCUGUCUUGUAGCAUUUCCGCCUGCUGCAUUUUUUGUCUUGAAGGCUAUUAUUAUGAAUGAAGGCUUGAAUAGCAUGGAGGUGGGAGACUUUUGGGAGUGGGUUGAGUCUCUUUGGGCAUGGAACAGUGCUACCUACAUCUACUUAGGUAUGGUACACCUCCCGUGUUGCGUAUUAUGCUUGCGCAUUUUGUCCCACUCUUCUUGAUACUUGGGUAGUGUACUGCUGAAAUGUUGAACAUGAGCCUCCAUAGUUUGAUGCUUGAAAUGUGUUUGCAAUAUAUCAACUGCACGUGGUUGUUCAUGGUAUUUUGACAAAUUCCCAGAGCAGAGAACGACAGAAUCAUCCCUUUAGAGUUUCCUUAUUGACUUUUCACAUUUGGGUCAUGAUCUGGAGGCUAGCUCGCUCACAUUGUCUAAUGAGUCUCGAAUUUGUGAAGGGACUUCAGAGCCAUUUGGUGGUUACUUACCAUAAGUUUGAUGUCAUGUUAGAAGAAAGAUAGCUUGAUGAUAUGGAAAGUCGAGCUAAAAAUCGUUCAUUUAUGAGAAGACAAGUAUGGCAGAAUCAAUUAGGAUGGACAAUUGGAUUCUGCUUCAAGCUGCAAACGCAACAACUAUAACUGAAUGCAUUUUAUAACGAGAGUAUUGUAUGAUAAUAAUGGUAGUUUUAGUUAGUAAUAGCAACACUAAUAAGUGAGGGCCGGAGCAGUAAGGUCAACUUCAAUAGCAAUUCUAGCGAAUUUCCCACGAACUGAGUUCUGCGUGCGCAAAUCAAAGCGAACAGUCUUCCCGAUCAGAUUUCCCAGACCCUCGAGAACGUCACAGUGAUAAUACUGGUAGGAGAGAUGAGGGAAACGAAUCCAAACCAUCAUUUUCCGAAGAAGAUCAUCUGUCACACGAAAUUGGGAGUCCCGAGCAAAAACGACAAGAUAAUGCUCGAAAAUAGUCUAGAGGCCACCGGUUAAAGCAUGGAAUUUUUUUUGUGUGUAAAUUUUGGUAUCCGAUCAGGACGAUGAUCCUUGGGUUAAGGUUUUAUUCUUCUCCCAACGUUGGUGCGGCGGAUCGAACUUUGGUUCGCCAUUCCAAUGUAGCCCCUGAUACCAUUACACCAACAACUCGUGGGUAUACGUGAAAUCUUUUUUAAAUACUUAUUACUUAAAAAGGUCCGCUUUAAAAAAGUCCGUUUUGAUUUGCGCGCGUAAAGAAAAAUUUAUUUUCCUUUUUCCGUCAACUCUUUAUAAGGAAAAAACAAUCUGCCUAUAUGCACAGUUGACAUCCACAUAAGAUGUUUACCAGUUAGGUUACUUGGAAACUUGCUAAAGGAUAUCUGAUGCAUUACGAAAUAGACUAUAAUGACAUUGGAUGUAAAAUCUUAACUACGAUAGCAUAUGGUGCAGUUAUUAAAGAUUAUAGUGACAUAAGUCAUAUUUUAUUCAGAACCAGAUCAGCUACAUUCCAGGCCCACGUUAGACGAAUUUGGGCCGAGGCCUAGUCACACUCCACGAGACUUCAACGGCACCGUUUCACAUGCUUAGUAGUUAGUAUCGUCACUUAAAUUUGACAUGGAGAAUCCAAAGCAAAGUCCGCGCACGAAAGAAAUUCGAAAACUUCCCGCCUGCACUUGAAAAAAAGCUAUGGCGGUAGCGCCAACUCUAGCUUCCCAAAAACAUUUCCCACAGUAAAACCCCUAUUUUCCAAUAAGCUUCUUCAACACAGCUCCGCAAUCCCUUAACACUCCUUCUCCCGCACUCUUCACUUCCUCCGCCAUCACUGCUCCAAUCAAUGGAGGCUUCCAGCUCCACCUCAACGCACAAGUCCGGAUCCUUCUUCCAAGAUCUCAGGUCAAGGGAACUCAACGGAUUCAGAGGUUUGACAUUUUUUUUCUCCAUUUCCCUCUCUGUAUUGUUCCAGCUCAUCUCGAUUGACCUAACCAUUUCGUCAUUUCCUCUACUUUUUUAGUUCGGAAGCGGCCGUAUUCUGAGGAUUCGCAGCUGCAAUUCGACGUGGUCGGAGAGGUAGCAGUUGAGCAUAACAACGAGGAUACGCCUCCUUUGGCCGUUUCUUUCUGCAAGGUGAUGUUUCAGAUUCGCAGUAUGCUUUCGAUUCGAUUUUUACUUCAGUUCAUUUGAAGGAUUUGAAAUUGAAGCUCUGGAUUCUGUGUAGACGGCUAAAAAUGCUCACAUUCUCGCGGUGUCUGAUGAGGACGGCUACGUGAGCUUGUUCGAUACACGACGGAAGUUGUCCUCUUCUUCUACUCGUCAAGAGAAUGCAGAAAAAUCGAGAAUUAUUGAGUGGGUAGCUCAUCAGAAUGCCAUAUUUGAUGUUCAAUGGAUUAAGGUAUCACGCGUUGAAAAUCCUCUCCGUUCUUAUAAGCUUGCUUUAGGCGAAUGAAUCAGGCUUAUGGAGUUUGUUAUUCUAAACUUUGUAUUCAGGAUGACACCAACAUUCUCACAGCUUCAGGAGAUCAAACAGUGAGUACAUUAGACUAUCCUUGAGAACACUUCAUUUGAGUGUUUGUAGUUUCUGAAAUUUCAUGGCUUGUUGUCCAGUUGAAGUUUAUUGCGUUUGCUCAAUGUUUGUACUUUGUGGGAAGUACUUCGGAGACUGAGAUGUAACAUUUGUAUUAAGAGAUUUUUACCAUGUUAUGACUGAACCUGUGCGUUACACUUAUUUCUAGUAGAAUAUCUGAGCUUAAGAGGAAACAAAAUACAAUUGGUACAAAAUUUGAUCUAAUCUUUGUGUUACAGAUACAACUGUGGGAUGUAGAACGGAGGAAAUGCAAAGGCGUCUUAACGGGGCACGCUGGAAGUGUUAAAUCUCUCUGCUCCCAUCCAACAAAUUCUGGUAAUUACUUCACAUGUUGUAAUGUUGAUCGCUAAACUUUCUAUUGAGUUCACACGUCGAACACUUCUCACUAUGAUUCUUCUUCAGACCUUCUUGUGUCUGGUUCAAGAGAUGGUUCGUUUGCAUUGUGGGACUUGAGGUGCCAGAACACUUCCACGAGAAGAUCUAGUGAAAUUUGUAUAAGGUAGCCUUCCCCUUUUAUUCACUUCAGCAGAAGAUAAUAUGUAAUGUUCCUACUAGUUAAAUUUGUACUAAUAUCUUUCUUGUGCUCCUCCUAGUUCAACUGCUCUGGUGAAGGGAGCUCAUCUUUCAGCCCAAGCAAAACGGACUAGGCGUGGCAAGGUUUGUGGACGAAAAGGUUUUUGAAGUACAUAGUUUCUUCUAUUGCUAAUCGCUUAUACUAUAUGUUACUUUUGCAGGCGGCUUCCAUGAGCAUCACAUCAGUUCUUUAUCUUAAAGACGAGAUGUCCAUUGCGACUGCUGGUGCAGUAGACAGGUCAGUACAUUAAACAGUAAUAUUUUUGGUUGAUCAUGCUAGGAAAAUAUUGAUUUACCAAGACUUUGUUUCAUCAAUGUGUGUAAUAUAUUAGCAUUAUCAAAUUCUGGGAUACGCGGAACCUGAAAGCUCAAGUUACUCAAGUGUGCCCUCAACCCAAGUCGUCAACCGAAAAGGUAACAUUUGGUUGCUACGCUCCAGCAAAAGGCAAUUACCUCGUCUUAUUCUGUAAAUGUCAUACGUUAAUCUGAUUUAUAGUCAUCUUUUGCAUCUUUUGCUACAGGUGAAGAGAUUGCAUGGUAUAUCUAGUCUAUCUCAGGACUCCUAUGGAACGUUCCUUACAGCUUCUUGCAUGGAUAAUAGGUACUUUCUUCAACCAGUAAAAGAAUCUAUCAAAUAGAAUCAUUAUACAAUGGCCGCAAGCCUGCAACUACUUAAACUUCAAAAUUAGAAUCCCAGGCCUAUAUAUAUAUCUAACCUUCAACCUUGUUCAUUUCUCGCAGAAUUUACUUGUAUAAUGUUCUUCAGCUUCAAAAGGGUCCCAUACAGUCAUUCCGUGGAUGCCGCAUAGAGUCAUUCUUUGUAAAGGUAUAUCGUCGCGUUUAAUGAAUCACUCUAUCUUCCAUCAAAAUUUUGCAUGAAACUACUUUACAGUUCUAAAUGUUCGAUUUUGUUAUGCAUCGCAGUCUGCAAUUAGUCCCGAUGCUUCGUGCAUACUCAGCGGGUCCAGCGAUGGAAACGCGUACCUAUGGCAGGUUUGUUACCUACACAAAAGCAGCCUCCUAAAUUUCUAUGUCCAAGUUCUAUUGUUUCCUUAAUAACUGGUUAUAACACAUGACAAUAGGUGGGGAAGCCCCAGAUGGAUCCUACGAUAUUGAAAGGCCAUGAUGGAGAAGUAACAGCAGUAGAUUGGUACCUCAUCCUAUCUCUUAGAUGGAUUUAUAACAAGUUUCAUUGCAACCCUUAAGAGUCACAUUUACUUACCACUAUCAUAAAACUUAACGGAUACAGGUGUCAGUCUGAAGAAGGCAAGAUAUCAACUUCUGCGGACGAUUUCACGGUGAGCACUAUAUUCAUUUAGUUAGGGAUUGAUUCAGAUCAAUUCAAGUUAGGUUACUUCCAGGGGUUUAUCAGAUUGGAAACCAGUUGUGCUGUAGAACCAUUUGUUUGUUGAACUUGACCAAUUUGUUUAACGAUUCUUGAUGCCAGGUUCGAGUAUGGAACGCUCAAAACUUCUAUGGUCCAAGCACGAGAUCACCAACUUCGAUCCGGAGGAGAGUAAUGGCGACCCCGGAUCAGGAACAGAGACGGUUGAAGUUGAAUCUUGCUAGAAGUGAAGCCGAUGGUGAUGAUUCAGUUUCGUCAGAGAAAGAAGCAAUGCCAGCACCACCUGGAACUCCUGAAACUCAAAGGAAAGUUUGGGAGGAAGAGGAAGUUUCAGGAGAGGUGUUUGUGGAGACAACACCUGAAUCUGCAGAGAAGAGCCCUUCUUCUGUGUUGAAUCCUCCCUCUUCCUUGAAAAGAAAAACCAUUCGUGACUAUUUUAUUACUGCAUAAACAAAGAACGUGCUUAGAUAAAUAACUAUUUUUUCCCUAUGCAUUUGUACAGUAACAGAACUAGCUUUGGUUAUCGAUGUGACUAGUAAAUGCGCUAAUACACGGUUGCAUAAAAUUGUUCUUGCAAAUUUGAAGUUCCCCUGUGUUUACUUUUUUACCAAACACGCCUUGUCUUAGGAAGCUUUAAGCAUUCUGCUUAAAUGUAGCUCAUAGUUUAUAUGGAGUAAAAAUAGAUUUCGGAGCUAGCUCUAUCCUUUAGUAUCUUGUGAUUUCCCUUGAUUGUAGUUAAGAUCAAGUAAUUAAAACGGGCACUUUUUUUUGACGAGAAUGGCAAUAGCCAGAUUAAUUUAUUAAUGUUGACGCAAUGAUGAUUACUAUAGGCGUAAAUUCACAAACGAAGAUAUAUGGAGUAACGGUCGUUAUUAGAAGUAUAAUAGGACCUUUUUCCUCACUCUCGUGACAAAUUAAUCCUAAAACCCAUUAAUUCUAGACAUUUGACAUAAACCGAAUUCAAAGAACACAACAUUGACUAACACCAAAAAGAAAUAGAGUAGUGAAAUUUGGAAGAUUAAAAAAUAGAAACAAACUGAUUCUUAGAAAGAAGAGAUGAUUAGGUGCUUUCAGUUCGGUCUGUCAGGAAAUCGAGAUGUUCACUUAUUUACAUUGUCGAUUCAUCUCCCAAUUGUCCUGGUUCCUUUACUGUCCGACGCUUUUUUGAAUCCCAGUUAAUUCCCAUCAAGUCUUCCUUCAGCUGCGUAGCACUGCUAGCUCCAACAUGGAGCGUGGAGUCUACUCGUUCAUGGGGCAUCGCAAAGGUUUGCCUUCAUGUUCUGCUACCAGCCAGCGCCCACCGCCUCUUGGUUGUGUGGACAAUUGCGGUGAAGCGCGCAAGUUGACAUCCCAUAGUCUCGACACUUCACCAUAUGGAUGUUUAAAACGUAUAUCACGAGUGCGAUCUACAUGUCCCAUCACACCACAUAUAAAGCAAUAGUUUGGGAGCUUUUCAUAUUUGAAACGGGCAUUGACGACUUGCCCUCUCGAUAAUUUAAUCUUUUUUUCUCUUCAGCUGAUUGUGUGCAUCCAUUCGGGCUCAGAAGCACAUCAAAGGGAUCUCUCCAUCGUAGUAUUGGGUCGUGUCGUAUGAUACGAAGCAGUCGAUGAAGUUUCCUAAUGUGCGAGCUACAGGCUCCGCAAAGAACCCGCGAGGUAGAUCGUAUGCUAGUACCCAAAAAUCAGUUUGUCGUAGCGGAAUCAACACUAGAGACUCACCCUAAUGCAUCUCAUGUGUGAUGAACAGUUUAUCAUUUGUGAGUCUAGGGGUCAUUGUCGAUGACCCAAUGCACAUUGAGCUUAUGAUAGAAUUUGAAUAGGAAGCGUUUUCCACCCAGAUCACGAAUAGCUACCCCUUUUUCGGGCGCCAAAUUUCCGGCAUCCUAUCUUCCACCACAACUUAAAGAUGCGAUCGGUAAGGAACUCACCGACCACACACAUCGAAUAAUCUUCGGUGACCGGUUCCUGUUGAUCAAGUCCCUCAAUUUCCUCAACCUAGUCUUCAAUCGCCGCUAGCGUUAUCCCCCGCAUAUGGACUUUCAUAGCGCGGAGCGUAGCCGGAGACGACGAGCAAGAAGGAUGAGCGGCGGCAGAUUGCGGCUAAAGAAACGAGCUUCCUGCCUUGCUCUAUGGAGGCAGAUUUCUGAGUUGAUGGUGAUGGAUUUGUGAUGUGGACACUUUUAAUUUAAGUUGAUUUUUUAGCACUUCAUUCACGUAAUUAAAUAAAUAAUUUCCAGUAUUUUAUAUUUAUUUCCUUACGUUAUCUAAUUUUUUGAAAGAUUAAAACUUUGAUAUAGGCAAGAUCAUGACACGUCGAAGUUAAGUGAAUGAGACUCCUAACAAGGUAAUAACAAAGCAGUUCAUAAACCGAAUGACCUUGAUCUUUACUAAGCUUGAGAUCAUUGAACAUAUAAUUAAAUACGUUAAUGAAAGAUAAGAACUUUAAUAUAAAAAUCAUUCAAAACGAGAAACUGAUAACAAAAACAAAGCAAACGGCCAACAAAAUAAUAGACGGUGGAAGGAUGAUGCAGAGCCAUCCACCCUUUUUUCCCAGUUUCCUUACUGCUUACUUCUCUAUGCAUAUCACAAGACGCCCUUGAAACUUGUUAGUCAUGCAGAGCCCUUACUCGCCAGGUCACCGCACCACGUGUUACUCUAUCACUUCUCCUCCCUUUCCUUUAAAGAACCACCACGCCACCUCCCUCUCACAAACACUCAUAAAAAAACCACCUCUUGCAUUUCUCCCAAGUUCAAAUUAGUUCACAGCUAAGCAAGAACUCAACAACAAUGGCGGAUCGUACAACACAGCCACACCAAGUCCAGGUCCACACCCAGCACCACUAUCCCACCGGCGGGGCUUUCGGCCGUUAUGAAGGUGGACUCAAAGGCGGUCCACAUCACCAGCAAGGAUCAGGCAGCGGCCCAUCAGCUUCCAAGGUGUUAGCAGUCAUGACCGCGCUCCCCAUCGGCGGGACCCUCCUUGCCUUGGCCGGGAUAACCUUGGCUGGGACGAUGAUCGGGCUGGCGAUCACCACCCCGAUUUUUGUCAUCUGCAGCCCUGUUCUAGUCCCGGCCGCUCUGCUCAUCGGGUUUGCCGUGAGCGCGUUUCUGGCCUCGGGGAUGGCCGGGCUGACAGGGCUGACCUCGCUGUCGUGGUUUGCGAGGUAUCUGCAGCAGGCUGGGCAGGGAGUUGGAGUGGGGGUGCCGGAUAGUUUCGAGCAGGCGAAGAGGCGCAUGCAGGAUGCUGCUGGGUAUAUGGGGCAGAAGACCAAGGAAGUUGGGCAGGAGAUCCAGAGGAAGUCUCAGGAUGUGAAAGCAUCAGACAAAUAAGGUGAUAAUAAGGGGUUUUGGGUUCGUGUGUAAACUGGUAAAAUGGAAAUUCUGGGUUUUACUGUACUUUUGCAUGUAGUGGAAUGAAUGAGUUCUUGUUCUCUUUUGUCUUUUAAUCAUAAAGUAAGAAGCAGCAUUUCAUGUUCUGGUUGAAUAUUGUCAAGAAUUCGCAACAAAUUUAGCUAAACCAGUUCAAUCUUACCGGUUAGACGACUUCCCAGUAAGAAACAUUCCAGGUCCAUCCCGG